rnacentral:lncRNA from 1 species
UCGCCCUCAUGGUGAUGGAGGACAGUUCACUGGGGUUUGCCUGCGUUGAGGGUUCCAGCCUUCAUCUGUGGUCAAGAAAGGUGAAUGCAGAAGGAGAUGCAGAAUGGGUGCGGGGCAGGGCCAUCCAGCUGGAGAGUAUUAUACCUGUAGCCAGUUCUGAUGACAAACCAUUUGUGGUGGGAUGUGCAGAGGGUGUGGGUGUCAUAUUCGUCAGCACAGGCGUUGGCUUAUUCACAAUCAAGCUAGAUUCUGGGCUGGUUAAGAAGGUUGCCGAGUUUGGGGUCUACUUCAGCGUCGUACCCUACAUGAGCUUCUAUACUCCAGGUAUGGUCCUAGCCCUUCCUUCUGGUCUGUUAUCCUGCGAUUUCUUUACAGCAUUUAUAUGUUCGCUUAAUUGGUUGGUUUAUGGUUUGCGAACAAUUGCUCAUAAUUUAAGUAAUGUGUGUUGGUUUGAUUUAUGUAUGUGCUAGUAUAUGACAUUGGAAAACAGAACAUGAUUUUUGUUAUGAGAUUCAACUUGUUAAGGAGCACAACCAAGCACUAGUGGAAUUGCAAAAUAUGCUGUCAAAUCUGUUGAUGUAGUAUUACCCUGUUACCUUGCUUCAGAUUUUCUUGAAAAAAAUAACAGUUUGUUAUUUUCUGGCAUAGCAGAAGUUCACACCUCAACGUAGUCUUGUAACACUUGUAAUGAGUACAAGCACUUAGUUCUUCAAUGUAGGAUGCUAGUUGGACAGUUACUUAUGAGUUUUUAUGCAUGGUAUCUUUUCUGAUCGUGGCACAUUGUUACCGUGGAAGUCACUACAAUCAAUUGGGGCUGUCUCGUUGAAUCCACCCUGAUCGUACUGUCAGAAUUCUGUACUUCAGUUUAUUGUGUCAGGCAUAUUAGAGUACUGCUUGGUCUAUGCUCGAUUCAGUUACUUGGAACUACAAUGUUUACUCUAUGUUGUUUCUCUUUCCUGAAAUUUAAUAUAACUCUAUUACAGUAUUAUUGUUGCCUCCAAAAGUGCUAUCAAGUAUCAGCACCAAACCUUUUGGACAUACAAUUGGAGAUACUAGUAGCCGAGUCCUAAUUUGUGUUAAUUUUUUUAUUUUGGAGUUAAGUCUGGUUGUUCUUCUGCUAUUAUAUAGAUCAGCCCAUGGGAAGCCCAAUUGCAUCACUAGCCCUUAAAUUUCUACUUUUCGCUAGAGCCAUUGAUUGGUCAAAUACUUUUCUUUUCUUGAAUGCUUAGAAGAACUGCACAUCAUUGUACUACAGACGGAAUAAGAAUGUCCAUACGAUGGGAAGGGGAAGGAAAUAGAGAACAGAAAAACACUACUCCAAGCCUGUCAUAACAGGGAACACCGAGAUAAAACAAAAAUACUACUGACUACAAAAAUGUGAAGUUUGAUGUAAUCGAUGAAGAGUGAAGUGGGCGCUAGCUGUUUGCUAAAUACUACUACAACAACCUCAUACAUAUCUGUUGUGUUGCAUUUUCUUUACUGUAUCUGUGUCUGCUUAGUUUGUUUGUUCUGGUUUGUGAACAGCUUCAACAAACUCAAACUGUAAUUAUUUACUCCCUCUGUCCCAAAAUAAGUGUCGUGGCUUUAGUUAAAUUUGUUGAACUUAUUUUUGGACGGAGGGAGUAGUUGUUAUCUUCACAUGUAGAGAUUGCCGCAAACUGAAUACAUGUCCAUCGGAAACUGACCUUAAUUUGAAUUCUGUGAUUUCAAUUGUUAUUAUGGACCGCAUUGGUAAAAAAUACAAAUAUGCAUGCAAACUUUUAAAUCUCAUAUGAUGUUCUUACUUUGUUUCAGAUAAUCUUUUCAGAACUAUUCUAUUGUUAUUCUGGUAUAUCUGAAGCUCACAUCUGGAGAUCAUUUUCUAUUAUUUUGUGAAGCAUUUUUUGAUCUCGUAUUAUGCUGUACUUGUAUAUAGCAAAUCAAACUGCAAAUGCUGACUUCGAAUGUUGGUUUUGAUUUUUGUGCAUAAUAACUUCUCAGAUCGUGGUAGAUUUCCAUCCCUGGCGGAGAUAACUGAUGUCUGAUAUGCGCCGCUCAAGAGCAAGAGUGCAAGACCUUGCGAAAUGGAUGAAGCCAUUAUCAUAAAUGUACUGCUGGUGGCUUCUUGCAGAGCUACCGCUAUCAAAUCCUUUUUAUUUUCUGUUGAGUAGGCAAAGCAUGACUGUUGCAAGUAAUUAUGACCAAAACCAAGGAUGCAUAAUUUGAAUCAUCUGGGCCAUUCGGUUUCUCCGAAGUUCAUCCAAAUGUACUAAUUCAGAUUCCAAAGUGACAGAAGUGGAACAAAGACCGCAUAUGCUGCCAUAUGAAGCUGCUUUUUUUAACGGUAUUUUUGAAUUCAGGAUCUGGUUAUUGAAUAGUUGAUCUGGUGGAUUGAACAUGAAUCAACAGCCAUGGUAAAACGGAGAUGAAAGUUGACCUGGAUGUCAUGCCAUGUGUUUUCUGCUUUAUUUCUGAGAUAAAAACCCUCCGUGUACUGUAUGUUUCAUACUCUCUGUGUACUGUGCAAUCAAUGUGUGGCAAAUUUCAGUUCAUAUGUACAAGAAAUAAUUAGCGCCUUGUACGCGACGCUAAAUCCCACUUUACGAAUGGUAUUUAUUUACUUGAGAGAAAUUUCCCGCCUGUAGUAUCUUAUUUUUUUCUGAGAAAUUCCUGCCUGUAGCAUCUAUUGUGGUAUGCAGAGACAGGCACAUACAUACGGCAUGAACGAAGCAGAUUCCGAGCCCGGGAAAAGACCCUCCUGGGCCGUCGCCUGUAAACAAGACACCCAGAGAGUAUACAGAGCUAUGGGCCUAUGGCCCAACCGUGGAGCCGCAGAUGCAGCGUUGUGUUUAGCUUUUGUUAUUAGUACCAUACCGCUUAGCUGGUACAAGUAGGGCUAGUUUAUAAGUCGCUCCCCGGGCACGGUUAGCGCCACACGGCAGGUGUGGUCAGCCCUUCAUAUUGAUGAGUAUUUGAAUUUGAAUGGUGUUGAGUGGAAGAGGAGAAGAAGAAAAGGAAAAAGGCCAAGAAAGACACAUAUCGUUUGAACGACCGCACGCAGGCUGGCUUGGCAUGCUUGCUACCAGCCAAACACACCGACAUGGUGUGCUCGCAAUUUUUUUUUUGCAUACACCAUAAAUUUAAUAAUUUUUCUUCUUCCGAUCAUGGGAUUUUUUUUUCUUCUCUGAUCCAUGUUCAACUUGCUACUGUACUAUCUCGUGCUUCAAAGGGGAGGCGCUCGACGUGCCAUGCUACUCCAAGAGCGAUUCCGAAGAGAGCGGCUUCCGUACCGGGCAAGCCUUCGAAGAGGAAGGUGAACGAAGACACGGUCGGGCCCUCAUCAAAGAGGUACGAGUUCACAAGUAUGUUUUUUUAAUAGUCACAUCCAACUGUGACUUUCAUGUUCGUCCUGUAUCAGGAAAAGAGUUCGCCGAACUGUGUCCGGGGAUCCGGCCCCAGCCGAGGAGUCGGGGGCCGAUAUGGGAGUAACGCCGGACUAUCCUUCAGCUGAGGGUUCGGAAGAUAUGUCUGUCACCAACUCGGAAGUGGAGAGCGCCAUGAAUCACCGGCGUCGGAGGGCCAUUUUACGAGACCCCCGCUUCUCGGAAGAGGCUUUUAAUGCCUUCAGCUUGGCUGAUGCCUACAUCCGAACUGCUCGAGAUGGGCUUAGCAGAGCCACAAAGCAGCAUUUAAAAGAUGCGCAGGUAAAUUUACUGUGUCCGAAUAUGAUAAUCGUAUGCCAGUAGCCCCCGAGACUUAAAGUAGUUGGUACAACUGAUUUGGGGAUCGUUGUAUGAUCAGGUUCUUUCGGAGAAUAACGAGACUUGCUAGCCCAAGAGCUAGACAAAUGCCGGACACAGUUAACUGCAGUUACCGCCGAACUGGAGAAAUCCAAGAAGGCGUCUGCGGGUAAUAUUUCCCUCCAUCGAGAAAUAGUAAUUGUAUAGCAGCUGUCUUAACACUGUGGCUUAUCGCAUAACAGGAUCGUCAGAUCAACUGGAGGAGAAAGAGUCGAAAAGACUACAUGCCGCAGGCGAGCGGGUGCUGGCCUGAGUCAGACAGGAGAAAAACAAACUCCAAGAUUCAAACACCCAGCUGGGCGAAGAACUGAAAGAUGUGCGGGCCCAGUUGGCCGACUCCGUAAAGGAGAACAAAAGGUUGUGAGGCGGCAUAUUCAGUAUGUGACCGAACUAUACCUUAUAGUAAUUCGGACAUAACAGGGACUGACAGAGUUAUGUCUGCAGGUAUGCUGACCGGUCGUCCCGAAGAGGAGAUGUCCGGAUUCUCGGGCGAUCUGCUACAAGAGCUGCCGCGCAUGCAUGAGCAAGCUCGGCAGGCGAUGCGAAGCGUUGCCAAGGCCUUGUGGCCAUCUGCCUCUCCUCCAGGAAAGAUGGAGGAGCUCCUGGAGCUAUUCAAGGGAAAGAAGUUCCCGUUAGUUUGGUAUAUGACCAAGUAAAAGUAGCUGCCAAGUAUUCCCAGCAGGAUUGUAAGUUAGAUAGCCUGCUGGACGGUAUAGAGGAGGAAAUGUUUGAGUCCAAGUGACUAUGUAUUUUCCUUCUAGCUGAAUUGUAAAACGAUUGUCAUGGCGGACCUUUUCGCUUCGACCUCUGCACCCGAAGGUGCAGAGUGUUUCCGAAUACCAGUGCGUCCGAAUAGACCGGUGCAUGCUUGGAAACCAGGCGUAGGGGUCAUAGUUGCUUGAACAGACAAGUUGUAUCCGGCUAGUUAUGUUAUAUUACAUGAAGAUUGUAAGAAACAUCUUCCAGAGAGAAUAGUUCCGUUUAGGGUUCCUUUCCCUGGGUGUGCAUGCGUUAAUGCGCAUGUCCGAACUGUGAUUGAAAAUCGCAGUAUGUUUUAACUUCUGGGGGUUCACAAUGUAGUAAAUGCAAAAAACAUCUUUAAUCCACCGACCGAAUAUUCCCUUAAGAACGCUAGCUUUCGGCUUCACCCAGUCUGAGGUACACAUUCGGAUGACCCGGCAGUAACAAUCACAGAGGUGCUUCCUUUAUGCCCUAGCCGAAUUAACGGGAAUGUAGGGCAUAAGCACAGGAGCCAGGCAACCCAGCUUGGCCAAAACUGGUGUCAUAUCGAUGCAUAUAAUGACGAAGAAAAGAAACAUAUGGAAAAACGCAUAUGUGAUGAGUAAUAGCAAGCUUCUGUUCAAGAAGCCCCCAGGUAUGAUGGACGUGCAUAUGUGAAGAUGUGCAUCAGGGGUGCGCGGUCUAACCGCACAAAAGCUUUAAAGCUAAAGAGAAAAAGCGAAAAGAGAGAAAAAAUGAAGGAAACAACAAAGGGGAAGGAGACGGACACAAGAGUUCGGCGCUAGGCAUAGAAUCUUCGGAGUCUGGCCGCGUUCCAGGGGUUCGGCUCUAGGCGAUUGUCUGACGCAUCACGCAAGUGGUACGCUCCUCCGGUGAGAACUUCGUCGAUGAUGAAGGGACCCUCCCAUUUGGGCUUGAGUUUGUCCUUUUUCUUCUCCGGCAAGCGUAGAACGAGUUCGCCAACGUUGUAAGUCUUGGCCCGUACUUCCCUCCUUUGAUAUCUGCGGGCCUGUUGUUAAUAAAAUGCGGAACAUGCUUUAGCAACGUCGUGCUCCUCCUCCAGGGCGUCUAGGCUGUCCUGCCGAUCGAGCUCGGCCUCUCUCUCUUCGUACAUGCGCACUCGAGGUGAGUCAUGAAUAAUAUCGCAGGGUAGUACCGCUUCUGCGCCGUAUACCAUAAAGAAAGGUGUGUAUCCGGUAGUACGAUUGGGCGUGGUCCGCAGCCCCCAGAGUACGGAGUCGAGCUCCUCAACCCAGUGCUUGUCUGAUUCCUUCAAAGAUCGCACCAGCCUGGGUUUGAUGCCGCUCAUGAUAAGACCAUUGGCCCAUUCGACUUGGCCAUUUGUUUCGGGUGAUAGACGGAGGCGUAAUUGAAGGAAAUAUGCCCUAGAGGCAAUAAUAAAGUAUUAUUUAUUUCCUUAUAUCAUGAUAAAUGUUUAUUAUUCAUGCUAGAAUUGUAUUAACCGGAAACAUAAUACAUGUGUGAAUACAUAGACAAACAGAGUGUCACUAGUAUGCCUCUACUUGACUAGCUCGUUAAUCAAAGAUGGUUAUGUUUCCUAGCCAUAGACAUAAGUUGUCAUUUGAUUAACGAGAUCACCUCAUUAGGAGAAUGACGUGAUUGACAUGACCCAUUCCGUUAGCUUAGCACUCGAUCGUUUAGUAUGUUGCUAUUGCUUUCUUCAUGACUUAUACAUGUUCCUAUGACUAUGAGAUUAUGCAACUCCCGUUUACCGGAGGAACACUUUGUGUGCUACCAAACGUCACAACGUAAAUGGGUGAUUAUAAAGGUGCUCUACAGGUGUCUCCAAAGGUACUUGUUGGGUUGGCGUAUUUCGAGAUUAGGAUUUGUCACUCCAAUUGUCGGAGAGGUAUCUCUGGGCCCACUCGGUAAUGCACAUCACUAUAAGCCUUGCAAGCAUUGUGACUAAUGAGUUAGUUGCGGGAUGAUGUGUUACGGAACGAGUAAAGAGACUUGCCGGUAACGAGAUUGAACUAGGUAUCGAGACACCGACGAUCAAAUCUCGGGCAAGUAACAUACCGGUGACAAAGGGAACAACGUAUGUUGUUAUGCGGUCUGACCGAUAAAGAUCUUCGUAGAAUAUGUGGGAGCCAAUAUGGGCAUCCAGGUCCCGCUAUUGGUUAUUGACCGGAGACGUGUCUCGGUCAUGUCUACAUAGUUCUCGAACCCGUAGGGUCCGCACGCUUAACGUUACGAUGACAGUUUUAUUGAGUUUUGAUGUACCGAAGGAGUUCGGAGUCCCGGAUGAGAUCGGGGAUAUGACGAGGAGUCUCGAAAUGGUCGAGACGUAAAUAUCGAUAUAUUGGACGACUAUAUUCGGACUUCGGAAAGGUUCCGAGUGAUUCGGCUAUUUUUCGGAGUACCGGAGAGUUACGGGAAUUCGUAUUGGGCCUUAAUGGGCCAUACGGGAAAGGACAGAAAGGCCUCAAAAGGUGGCCGCACCCCUCCCCAUGGUCUGGUCCGAAUUGGACUAGGGAAGGGGGGCGCACCCUUCCUUCUUUCUCCUCCCCCCUUCCCUUCUCCUACUCCCACAAGGAAAGGAGGAGUCCUACUCCCGGUGGGAGUAGGACUCCCCCCUAUGGCGCGCCUCUCCCCUUGGCCGGCCGCCUCCCCCUUGCUCCUUUAUAUACGGGGGCAGGGGGGCACCCCAGAGACACAACAAUUGAUCCUUGAGAUCUCUUAGCCGUGUGCGGUGCCCCCCUCCACCAUAUUACACCUCGAUAAUACCGUUGCGGAGCUUAGGCGAAGCCCUGCGUCGGUGGAACAUCAUCAUCGUCACCACGCCGUCGUGCUGACGAAACUCUCCCUCAACACUCGGCUGGAUCGGAGUUCGAGGGACGUCAUCGAGCUGAACGUGUGUAGAACUCGGAGGUGCCGUACGUUCGGUACUUGAUCGGUCGGAUCGUGAAGACGUACGACUACAUCAACCGCGUUGUGAUUACGCUUCCGCUGUCGGUCUACGAGGGUACGUGGACAACACUGUCCCCUCUCGUUGCUAUGCAUCACCAUGAUCUUGCGUGUGCGUAGGAAUUUUUUUGAAAUUACUACGUUCCCCAACAGUGGCAUCCGAGCCUGGUUUCAUGCGUUGAUGCUAUGCACGAGUAGAACACAAGUGAGUUGUGGGCGAUAUAAGUCAUACUGCUUACCAGCAUGUCAUACUUUGGUUCAGCGGUAUUGUGAGAUGAAGCGGCCCGGACCGACAUUACGCGUACGCUUACGCGAGACUGGUUUCACCGUUGCGAGCACUCGUUGCUUAAAGGUGACUGGCGGGUGUCUGUCUCUCUCACUUUAGUUGAACCGAGUGUGGCUACGCCCGGUUCUUGCGAAGGUUAAAACAGCACCAACUUGACAAACUAUCGUUGUGGUUUUGAUGCGUAGGUAAGAAUGGUUCUUGCUAAGCCCGUAGCAGCCACGUAAAAUAUGCAACAACAAAGUAGAGGACGUCUAACUUGUUUUUGCAGGGCAUGUUGUGAUGUGAUAUGGUCAAGACAUGAUGUGAUAUAAUGUGUUGUAUGAGAUGAUCAAGUUUUGUAACCGAGUUAUCGGCAACUGGCAGGAGCCAUAUGGUUGUCGCUUUAUUGUAUGAGAUGCAAUCGCCAUGUAAUAGUUUACUUUAUCACUAAGCGGUAGCGAUAGUCGUAAAAGCAAUAAGUUGGCGAGACGACAAUGAUGCUACGAUGGAGAUCAAGGUGUCGCGCCGGUGACGAUGGUGAUCAUGACGGUGCUUCGGAGAUGGAGAUCACAAGCACAAGAUGAUGAUGGCCAUAUCAUAUCACUUAUAUUGAUUGCAUGUGAUGUUAAUCCUUUAUGCAUCUUAUCUUGCUUUGUUUGACGGUAGCAUUAUAAGAUGAUCCUUCACUAAAUUAUCAAAGUAUAAGUCUUCUCCCUGAGUAUGCACCGUUGCGAAAGUUCUUCGUGCUGAGACACCACGUGAUGAUCGGGUGUGAUAGGCUCUACAUUCAAAUACAACGGGUGCAAAACAGUUGCACACGCGGAAUACUCAGGUUAAACUUGACGAGCCUAGCAUAUAACAGAUAUGGCCUCGGAACACGGAGACCGAAAGGUCGAGCGUGAAUCAUAUAGUAGAUAUGAUCAACAUAGUGAUGUUCACCAUUGAAACUACUCCAUCUCACGUGAUGAUCGGACAUGGUUUAGUUGAUAUGGAUCACGUGAUCACUUAGAGGAUUAGAGGGAUGCCUAUCUAAGUGGGAGUUCUUAAGUACUAUGAUUAAUUGAACUUAAAUUUAUCAUGAACUUAGUCCUGAUAGUAUUUUGCAAAUUAUGUUGUAGAUCAAUAGCUCGCGUUGUUGCUUCCCUGUGUUUAUUUUUGAUAUGUUCCUAGAGAAAAAAUAUGUUGAAAGAUGUUAGUAGAUAAGAUGCGGAUUGGAUCCGUGAUCUGAGGAUUAUCCUCAUUGCUGCACAGAAAAAUUAUGUCCUUGAUGCACCGCUAGGUGACAGACCUAUUGCAGGAGUAGAUGCAGACGUUAUGAACGUUUGGCUAGCUCAAUAUGAUGCCUACUUGAUAGUUUAGUGCACCAUGCUUAAACGGCUUAGAAUCAGGACUUCAAAGACGUUUUGAACGUCAUGGACCAUAUGAGAUGUUCCAGGAGUUGAAGUUAAUAUUUCAAGCAAAUACCCGAGUUGAGAGAUAUGAAGUCUCCAACAAGUUCUAUAGCUAAAAGAUGGAGGAGAAUCGCUUAACUAGUGAGCAUGUGCUCAGAUUGUCUGGGUACUACAAUCGCUUGAAUCAAGUGGUUGUUGAUCUUCCAGAUAAAAUAGUGAUUGACAGAAUUCUCUAGUCACCAUCACCAAGUUAGUAGAACUUCGUGAUGAACUAUAGUAUGCAAGGGAUGACGAAAGUAAUUCCCGAGCUCUUCGUGAUGCUGAAAUCGACGAAGGUAGAAAUCAAGAAAAACAUCAAGUGUUGAUGGUUGACGAGACCACUAGUUUCAAGAAAAGGGCAAAGGGAAGAAGGGGAACUUCAAGAAGAACGGCAAGCAAGUUGCUGCUCAAGUGAAGAAGCCUAAGUCUGGUCCUAAGCCUGAGACUAAGUGCUUCUACUGCAAAGGUACUGGUCACUGGAAGCGGAACUACCCCAAGUAUUUGGUGGAUAAGAAGGAUGGCAAAGUGAACAAAGGUAUAUUGGAUAUACAUGUUAUUGAUGUGUACUUUACUAGUGUUUAUAGCAACCCCUCGACAUUUGAUACUGGUUCAGUUGCUAAGAGUAGUAACUCGAAACGGGAGUUGCAGAAUAAACAGAGACUAGUAAAAAGGCGAGGUGACGAUGUGUGUUGGAAAUAGUUCCAAGAUUGAUAUGAUCAUCAUCGCACACUCCCUGUACUUUCGGGAUUAGUGUUAAAACUAAAUAAGUGUUAUUUGGUGUUUGCGUUGAGCAUGAAUAUGAUUUGAUCAGGUUUACUGCAAUACGGUUAUUCAUUUAAGUUAGAGAACAAUUGUUGUUCUGUUUACAUGAAUAAAAACCUUCUAUGGUCAUACACACCAACGAAAAUGGUUUGUUGGAUCUCGAUCGUAGUGAUACACAUAUUCAUAAUAUUGAAGCCAAAAGAUGCAAAGUUAAUAAUGAUAGUGCAACUUAUUUGUGGCACUGCCGUUUAGGUCAUAUUGGUGUAAAGCGCAUGAAGAAACUCCAUACUGAUGGGAUUUUGGAAUCACUUGAUUAUGAAUCACUUGAUGCUUGCGAUCCGUGCCUCAUGGGCAAGAUGACUAAAACGCCCUUCUCCGGAACUAUGGAGAGAGCAACAGAUUUGUUGGAAAUCAUACAUACAGAUGUAUGUGGCCCGAUGAAUAUUGAGGCUCGUAGCAGGUAUCAUUAUUUUCUGACCUUCACAGAUGAUUUGAGCAGAUGUGGGUAUAUCUACUUAAUGAAACAGAAGUCUGAAACAUUUGAAAAGUUCAUAUAAUUUCAGAGUGAAGCGAAAAAUCAUCGUAACAAGAAAACAAAGUUUCUACGAUCUGAUCGUGGAGAAGAGUAUUUGAGUUACGAGUUUGGCCUUCAGUUAAAACAAUGUGAAAUAGUUUCACUACUCACGCCACCUGGAACACCACGGUGUAAUGGUGUGUCCGAACAGCAUAACCGUACUUUAUUAGAUAUGGUGCGAUAUAUGAUGUUUCUUACCGAUCUACCACUAUCGUUUUGGGGUUAUGCAUUAGAGACAGCUGCAUUCACGUUAAAUAGGGUACCAUCAAAAUCCGUUGAGACGACGCCUUAUGAACUAUGGUUUGGCAAGAAACCAAAGUUGUCGUUUCUUAAAGUUUGGGGUUGCGAUGCUUAUGUGAAGAAACUUCAACCUGAUGCUCGAACCUAAAUCGGAGAAAUGUGUCUUCAUAGGAUACCCAAAGGAGACUGUUGGGUACACCUUCUAUCACAGAUCCGAAGGCAAGACAUUCGUUGAUAAGAAUGGAUCCUUUCUGGAGAAGGAGUUUCUCUCGAAAGAAGUGAGUGGGAGGAAAGUAGAACUUGAUGAGGUAACUGUACCUGCUCCCUUAUUGGAAAGUAGUUCAUCACAGAAAUCUGUUCCUGUGACUCCUACACCAAUUAGUGAGGAAGUUAAUGAUGAUGAUCAUGGAACUUCAGAUCAAGUUAUUACUGAACCUCGUAGGUCAACCAGAGUAAGAUCCGCACCAGAGUGGUACGGUAAUCCUGUUCUAGAGGUUAUGUUACUAGACCAUGACGAACCUACGAACUAUGAGGAAGCGAUGAUGAGCCCAGAUUCCGCGAAAUGGCUUGAGGCCAUGAAAUCUGAGAUAAGAUCCAUAUAUGAGAACAAAGUGUGGACUUUGAUUGACUUGCCCAAUGAUCGGCGAGCCAUUGAGAUUAAAUGGAUCUUCAAGAGGAAGACGGACGUUGAUAGUAGUGUUACUAUCUACAAAGCUAGACUUGUCGGAAAAAGGUUUUUGACAAAGUUCAAGGUGUUGACUACGAUGAGAUUUUCUCACUCGCAGCGAUGCUUAAGUCUGUUCGAAUCAUGUUUAGCAAUUGCCGCAUUUUAUGAAAUCUGGCAAAUGGAUAAACAAAACUACAUUCCUUAAUGGAUUUAUUAAAGAAGAGUUGUAUAUGAUGCAACCAGAAGGUUUUGUCAAUCCUAAAGGUGCUAACAAAAUAUGCAAGCUCCAGCGAUCCAUCUAUGGACUGGUGCAAGCAUCUCGGAGUUGGAAUAUACACUUUGAUAAGUUGAUCAAAGGAUAUAGUUUUAUACAGACUUGCGGUGAAGCCUGUAUUUACAAGAAAGUGAGUGGGAGCACUACAGCAUUUCUGAUAAGUAUAUGUAAGUGACAUAUUGUUGAUCGAAAAUAAUGUAGAAUUAUUCUGCAAAGCAUAAAGGAGUUUUUCAAAGAAAGACCUCGGUGAAGCUGCUUACAUAUUGAGCAUCAAGAUCUAUAGAGAUAGAUCAAGACGCUUGAUAAGUUUUUUCAAUAAGUACAUACCUUAACAAGAUUUUGAAGUGGUUCAAAAUGGAACAGUCAAAGAAAGAGUUUCUUGACUGUGUUACAAGGUGUGAAAUUGAGUAAGACUCAAAACCCGACCACGGCAGAAGAUAGAAAAAGAAUGAAAGUCAUUCCCUAUGCCUCGGCCAUAGGUUCUAUAAAGUAUGCCAUGCUGUGUACCGGAUCUAUUGUAUACCCUACACUGAUUUUGGCAAGGGAGUACAAUAGUGAUCUAGGAGUAGAUCACUGGACAGCGGUCAAAAUUAUCCUUACUGGAAUAAGGAUAUGUUUCUCGAUUAUGGAAGUGACAAAAGGCUCGUCGUAAAAGGUUACGUCGAUGCAAGUUUUGACACUAAUCUAGAUGACUCUAAGUCUCGGUCUAGAUACAUAUUGAAAGUGGGAGCAAUUAGCUAGAGUAGCUCCGUGCAGAGCAUUGUAGACAUAGAAAUUUGCAAAAUACUUACGGAUCUGAAUGUGACAGACCCGUUGACUAAAAUUAUCUCACAAUCAAAACAUGAUCACACCUUAGUACUCUUUGGGUGUUAAUCACAUAGCGAUGUGAACUAGAUUAUUGACUCUAGUAAACCCUUUGAGUGUUGGUCACAUAGAGAUGUGAACUAUGGGUGUUAAUCACAUGGUGAUGUCAAUUAUUGAUGUUAAAUCACAUGGCGAUGUGAACUAGAUUAUUGACUCUAGUGCACGUGGGAGACUGAAGGAAAUAUGCCCUAGAGGCAAUAAUAAAGUAUUAUUUAUUUCCUUAUAUCAUGAUAAAUGUUUAUUAUUCAUGCUAGAAUUGUAUUAACCNNNNNNNNNNNNNNNNNNNNNNNNNNNNNNNNNNNNNNNNNNNNNNNNNNNNNNNNNNNNNNNNNNNNNNNNNNNNNNNNNNNNNNNNNNNNNNNNNNNNNNNNNNNNNNNNNNNNNNNNNNNNNNNNNNNNNNNNAGAACUUGAUGAGGUAACUGUACCUGCUCCCUUAUUGGAAAGUAGUUCAUCACAGAAAUCUGUUCCUGUGACUCCUACACCAAUUAGUGAGGAAGUUAAUGAUGAUGAUCAUGGAACUUCAGAUCAAGUUAUUACUGAACCUCGUAGGUCAACCAGAGUAAGAUCCGCACCAGAGUGGUACGGUAAUCCUGUUCUAGAGGUUAUGUUACUAGACCAUGACGAACCUACGAACUAUGAGGAAGCGAUGAUGAGCCCAGAUUCCGCGAAAUGGCUUGAGGCCAUGAAAUCUGAGAUAAGAUCCAUAUAUGAGAACAAAGUGUGGACUUUGAUUGACUUGCCCAAUGAUCGGCGAGCCAUUGAGAUUAAAUGGAUCUUCAAGAGGAAGACGGACGUUGAUAGUAGUGUUACUAUCUACAAAGCUAGACUUGUCGGAAAAAGGUUUUUGACAAAGUUCAAGGUGUUGACUACGAUGAGAUUUUCUCACUCGCAGCGAUGCUUAAGUCUGUCCGAAUCAUGUUUAGCAAUUGCCGCAUUUUAUGAAAUCUGGCAAAUGGAUAAACAAAACUACAUUCCUUAAUGGAUUUAUUAAAGAAGAGUUGUAUAUGAUGCAACCAGAAGGUUUUGUCAAUCCUAAAGGUGCUAACAAAAUAUGCAAGCUCCAGCGAUCCAUCUAUGGACUGGUGCAAGCAUCUCGGAGUUGGAAUAUACACUUUGAUAAGUUGAUCAAAGGAUAUAGUUUUAUACAGACUUGCGGUGAAGCCUGUAUUUACAAGAAAGUGAGUGGGAGCACUACAGCAUUUCUGAUAAGUAUAUGUAAGUGACAUAUUGUUGAUCGAAAAUAAUGUAGAAUUAUUCUGCAAAGCAUAAAGGAGUUUUUCAAAGAAAGACCUCGGUGAAGCUGCUUACAUAUUGAGCAUCAAGAUCUAUAGAGAUAGAUCAAGACGCUUGAUAAGUUUUUUCAAUAAGUACAUACCUUAACAAGAUUUUGAAGUGGUUCAAAAUGGAACAGUCAAAGAAAGAGUUUCUUGACUGUGUUACAAGGUGUGAAAUUGAGUAAGACUCAAAACCCGACCACGACAGAAGAUAGAAAAAGAAUGAAAGUCAGUCCCUAUGCCUCGGCCAUAGGUUCUAUAAAGUAUGCCAUGCUGUGUACCGGAUCUAUUGUAUACCCUACACUGAUUUUGGCAAUGGAGUACAAUAGUGAUCUAGGAGUAGAUCACUGGACAGCGGUCAAAAUUAUCCUUACUGGAAUAAGGAUAUGUUUCUCGAUUAUGGAAGUGACAAAAGGCUCGUCGUAAAAGGUUACGUCGAUGCAAGUUUUGACACUAAUCUAGAUGACUCUAAGUCUCGGUCUAGAUACAUAUUGAAAGUGGGAGCAAUUAGCUAGAGUAGCUCCGUGCAGAGCAUUGUAGACAUAGAAAUUUGCAAAAUACUUACGGAUCUGAAUGUGACAGACCCGUUGACUAAAAUUAUCUCACAAUCAAAACAUGAUCACACCUUAGUACUCUUUGGGUGUUAAUCACAUAGCGAUGUGAACUAGAUUAUUGACUCUAGUAAACCCUUUGAGUGUUGGUCACAUAGAGAUGUGAACUAUGGGUGUUAAUCACAUGGUGAUGUCAAUUAUUGAUGUUAAAUCACAUGGCGAUGUGAACUAGAUUAUUGACUCUAGUGCACGUGGGAGACUGAAGGAAAUAUGCCCUAGAGGCAAUAAUAAAGUAUUAUUUAUUUCCUUAUAUCAUGAUAAAUGUUUAUUAUUCAUGCUAGAAUUGUAUUAACCAGAAACAUAAUACAUGUGUGAAUACAUAGACAAACAGAGUGUCACUAGUAUGCCUCUACUUGACUAGCUCGUUAAUCAAAGAUGGUUAUGUUUCCUAGCCAUAGACAUAAGUUGUCAUUUGAUUAACGAGAUCACCUCAUUAGGAGAAUGACGUGAUUGACAUGACCCAUUCCGUUAGCUUAGCACUCGAUCGUUUAGUAUGUUGCUAUUGCUUUCUUCAUGACUUAUACAUGUUCCUAUGACUAUGAGAUUAUGCAACUCCCGUUUACCGGAGGAACACUUUGUGUGCUACCAAACGUCACAACGUAAAUGGGUGAUUAUAAAGGUGCUCUACAGGUGUCUCCAAAGGUACUUGUUGGGUUGGCGUAUUUCGAGAUUAGGAUUUGUCACUCCAAUUGUCGGAGAGGUAUCUCUGGGCCCACUCGGUAAUGCACAUCACUAUAAGCCUUGCAAGCAUUGUGACUAAUGAGUUAGUUGCGGGAUGAUGUGUUACGGAACGAGUAAAGAGACUUGCCGGUAACGAGAUUGAACUAGGUAUCAAGAUACCGACGAUCAAAUCUCGGGCAAGUAACAUACCGGUGACAAAGGGAACAAUGUAUGUGUUAUGCGGUCUGGCCGAUAAAGAUCUUCGUAGAAUAUGUGGGAGCCAAUAUGGGCAUCCAGGUCCCGCUAUUGGUUAUUGACCGGAGACGUGUCUCGGUCAUGUCUACAUAGUUCUCGAACCCGUAGGGUCCACACGCUUAACGUUACGAUGGCAGUUUUAUUGAUUUUUGAUGUACCGAAGGAGUUCGGAGUCCCGGAUGAGAUCGGGGAUAUGACAAGGAGUCUCGAAAUGGUCGAGACGUAAAAAUCGAUAUAUUGGAUGACUAUAUUCGGACUUGGAAAGGUUCCGAGUGAUUCGGGUAGUUUUCGGAGUACCGGAGAGUUACGGGAAUUCGUAUUGGGCCUUAAUGGGCCAUACGGGAAAGGAGAGAAAGGCCUCAAAAGGUGGCCGCACCCCUCCCCAUGGUCUGGUCCGAAUUGGACUAGGGAAGGGGGGGCGCACCCUUCCUUCUUUCUCCUUCCCCCUUCCCUUCUCCUACUCCCACAAGGAAAGGAGGAGUCCUACUCCCGGUGGGAGUAGGACUCCCCCCUAUGGCGCGCCUCUCCCCUUGGCCGGCCGCCUCCCCCUUGCUCCUUUAUAUACGGGGGCAGGGGGGCACCCCAGAGACACAACAAUUGAUCCUUGAGAUCUCUUAUCCGUGUGCGGUGCCCCCCUCCACCAUAUUACACCUCGAUAAUACCGUUGCGGAGCUUAGGCGAAGCCCUGCGUCGGUGGAACAUCAUCAUCGUCACCACGCCGUCGUGCUGACGAAACUCUCCCUCAACACUCGGCUGGAUCGGAGUUCGAGGGACGUCAUCGAGCUGAACGUGUGUAGAACUCGGAGGUGCCGUACGUUCGGUACUUGGUCGGUCGGAUCGUGAAGACGUACGACUACAUCAACCGCGUUGUGAUAACGCUUCCGCUGUCGGUCUACGAGGGUACGUGGACAACACUCUCCCCUCUCGUUGCUAUGCAUCACCAUGAUCUUGCGUGUGCGUAGGAAAUUUUUUGAAAUUACUACGUUCCCCAACAGUGGCAUCCGAGCCUGGUUUCAUGCGUUGAUGCUAUGCACGAGUAGAACACAAGUGAGUUGUGGGCGAUAUAAGUCAUACUGCUUACCAGCAUGUCAUACUUUGGUUCAGCGGUAUUGUGAGAUGAAGCGGCCCGGACCGACAUUACGCGUACGCUUACGCGAGACUGGUUUCACCGUUGCGAGCACUCGUUGCUUAAAGGUGACUGGCGGGUGUCUGUCUCUCUCACUUUAGUUGAACCGAGUGUGGCUACGCCCGGUUCUUGCGAAGGUUAAAACAGCACCAACUUGACAAACUAUCGUUGUGGUUUUGAUGCGUAGGUAAGAAUGGUUCUUGCUAAGCCCGUAGCAGCCACGUAAAAUAUGCAACAACAAAGUAGAGGACGUCUAACUUGUUUUUGCAGGGCAUGUUGUGAUGUGAUAUGGUCAAGACAUGAUGUGAUAUAAUGUGUUGUAUGAGAUGAUCAAGUUUUGUAACCGAGUUAUCGGCAACUGGCAGGAGCCAUAUGGUUGUCGCUUUAUUGUAUGAGAUGCAAUCGCCAUGUAAUAGUUUACUUUAUCACUAAGCGGUAGCGAUAGUCGUAAAAGCAAUAAGUUGGCGAGACGACAAUGAUGCUACGAUGGAGAUCAAGGUGUCGCGCCGGUGACGAUGGUGAUCAUGACGGUGCUUCGGAGAUGGAGAUCACAAGCACAAGAUGAUGAUGGCCAUAUCAUAUCACUUAUAUUGAUUGCAUGUGAUGUUAAUCCUUUAUGCAUCUUAUCUUGCUUUGUUUGACGGUAGCAUUAUAAGAUGAUCCUUCACUAAAUUAUCAAAGUAUAAGUCUUCUCCCUGAGUAUGCACCGUUGCGAAAGUUCUUCGUGCUGAGACACCACGUGAUGAUCGGGUGUGAUAGGCUCUACAUUCAAAUACAACGGGUGCAAAACAGUUGCACACGCGGAAUACUCAGGUUAAACUUGACGAGCCUAGCAUAUAACAGAUAUGGCCUCGGAACACGGAGACCGAAAGGUCGAGCGUGAAUCAUAUAGUAGAUAUGAUCAACAUAGUGAUGUUCACCAUUGAAACUACUCCAUCUCACGUGAUGAUCGGACAUGGUUUAGUUGAUAUGGAUCACGUGAUCACUUAGAGGAUUAGAGGGAUGCCUAUCUAAGUGGGAGUUCUUAAGUACUAUGAUUAAUUGAACUUAAAUUUAUCAUGAACUUAGUCCUGAUAGUAUUUUGCAAAUUAUGUUGUAGAUCAAUAGCUCGCGUUGUUGCUUCCCUGUGUUUAUUUUUGAUAUGUUCCUAGAGAAAAAAUAUGUUGAAAGAUGUUAGUAGAUAAGAUGCGGAUUGGAUCCGUGAUCUGAGGAUUAUCCUCAUUGCUGCACAGAAAAAUUAUGUCCUUGAUGCACCGCUAGGUGACAGACCUAUUGCAGGAGCAGAUGCAGACGUUAUGAACGUUUGGCUAGCUCAAUAUGAUGCCUACUUGAUAGUUUAGUGCACCAUGCUUAAACGGCUUAGAAUCAGGACUUCAAAGACGUUUUGAACGUCAUGGACCAUAUGAGAUGUUCCAGGAGUUGAAGUUAAUAUUUCAAGCAAAUACCCGAGUUGAGAGAUAUGAAGUCUCCAACAAGUUCUAUAGCUAAAAGAUGGAGGAGAAUCGCUUAACUAGUGAGCAUGUGCUCAGAUUGUCUGGGUACUGCAAUCGCUUGAAUCAAGUGGGAGUUUGUCAGGACCCCGAUUCCAAGUCACACCGAUCUAGCCUGUAACACCUCAUAUAACAUUGCGGCCUCACGCACGGUACUCCCUCGGGUGUCGCCUUACCAUGGCCCGGGACCGUUUGCGCCUUUUGGCUCACGUAUAUGAUAAUGUCGCUAGCAUCCAUAUGACAGAGAACCCGGGCCGACAUGGCUAGUCGUGAACCCAAAGCGGCACUAACGUAUGGGGACAGGCAUACAUGAAUCUACAUCGAACGUAUCGGUCAGCAGCGUGUGAAUCCGGGCUGUAGCACUGGGCUAACAGGGCUCCGGUGACCCGGGCUGUAGCAGGCUAGGCAGGACUCCGGAUGUCACCGCGUGACAUUUCCCCGAAGGGACAGACACAGGAACGAUAUGACUCACAUGCCGGCCAGUCAAGUGUCCAGAGCAGUAGUGCUGGGCUAGCAGGACUCCGGUGAACCGGGCUGUAGCGGACUACUAUGGCUCAAGGAGGCACUAGACUACAUUUCCCCAUAAGAGAGGCUGCUAAAGAUAAACAACUAGAUUGUCGGAUCCCACACAUACCAAGCAUUUCAAACAUACAUACAAUAUGCUCGAUAUGUGCAAAUACAACAUGGCAUCACAACAAAACUCUACAACUCAAGUACUUUAUUUAAAGGGCUCCGGAGAGCCUUACAUAACUUGUUCAUACAGAUAGGGGUCACAUGACCCGACACUCAAGUCAUACAAUCAUACAAGCACAUGCGGAAGCAAACUGUCUGGGUACAGACACUAGAAAGAAAGAAGGCUUGACGAAGCCUGUCUAUCUACAUAGGCCCUUCACAAGCCUAGAUCACCACCUGGGUGGCGCGUCACUCGUCGUCGUCGAGUUCUACGUAGAACCCGUCAGAAGGGGCGGGGUUGUCGUCUGAAACAGUAAUUAAAGCAACAUGAGUACAAAGGUACUCAGCAAGUCUUACAACAGAUCCUAUUAUACAUGCUCAUUCUCAAGAAGGUAGUGGGGUUAUUGCAGCAAGCCAGCUUUGACUCUUGGCUAAGCUAUCCUACGAUACACCACUUGUGAAAUAGUUUUCGCACACGAGUCCACUAAUCACCAUCUCAAUACUCCACCGUGGAUCCUCCCUCGUCAUCCAACGAGAGGGCCAUCCGCGGUACUCACACUUAUCUUGAGGCUUUUAGUAGUAUCCAUUUACUUGUCUAUGAACUGCAUAAGCGACCAAGUAGUCCUUUACCGCGGACGCGGCUAUUCGAAUAGUUUCAUACCCUGCAGGGGUGUACUUCAUCACACACGCUCUCACCACUUAUCGUCGCUACACGACGUGUACUCGGCAACCUUCAAGCGGAAGCCCAACGUGGGUGUCGGCCACAGCCUACCUAAACACUCGAGUCUCUAGUCCAGGUUUAUCGCCUAUUUAGGUUCCAUCCGCAGGGAGUCCGGCCGAGGUUUCCACAUACGGCCCCAAACGAUGUGUGCAGGGUUCCCGGACACCAAACGGGCGACUCGGUACACCGUGCCACGAGCCUACCGCAUCACAGCCCACCCCUUGGUCAGCGCUGUCCACGGCCUCCAGCUUACUACAAACACCAGAAACUACGUGCAACUCCUGGACAGAGGACAAGGGUGAAUAAGAAGCCGAGGGGGUCCAUUGGUUUCGGGCCCAAUGUGUGGUAGUAGCUGAAUCUUAAAUCACGCAUACAGAUCUCAGUUCUUAGGGACGGUCUCAAUGAAACAACCCACCAUGUACUCCUACAUGGCCUCCCAUCGAUACCUUUACCAAAUCGUAUUCAACACUUUACUCUCUUUACUGACACACACCCUUUCACUCUAGUUCAUCACCCUGAUGAGCCAGACCUGACACAACUCUAAGCAUAGCAAGCAUAGCAUUGUAGGAACACAACAAGGCUCAAUCAACUCCUACACAUGCUAGUGGGUUUCAUCUAGUUACUGUGGCAAUGACAGGUCAUGCAAAGGAAAGUGGGUUCAACUACCGCAACACACAGCAGUUUGAAUCGCGUUGUCUUAAUGCAGUAAACGAGAGCGGAAGCGAGAAGAUGGGUUUGUAUCGAAAUGAUCAAUGGGUUGCUUGCCUGACAAAGUGGUGGUGGGAUACUGCCCUUCAGUUGGAUACUCGUGAAUAUCCUCGGAGGCAGGACCUACCACAAUGAACACAUCGGAACACAAUCAACACCAAGCAAGUGCAACAAUAUGAUGCAUGCAUGAGACAUGGCAAAAUGGAUGUAUUGGGCUAAUGCAACUAAGGCCAGAAAGGUUUGGACUAAUUUGAAUCAAAGAUUCAAAUUCCAAGUUCAUAAAUGGCCCAUAUUAAUGCCUUAUCUUGUUCUGUAUAAAACAGUAGGUUAACUUGCUUAAUCAUGCAUGAAACCAGUACAGAUGGAUAGAAUGGAUUUUUCUGAUCAUUUUUCAUAUAUAAAUCUUUUCAUUCUGAGCUAUAGAUUAUUUUCUAUGAUUUUUUGAAGUUUGUGAUAAUUUCUGGAAUUUCCAAUAUGAAAUAAUUCCAGUAAAUGUUUUAUUGCGUCAGCCUGACGUCAGUGUGACGUCAGCGGGUCAGCGGGGUCGUCCAGGUCAAACCUGACGGGUGGGUCCCCUGUGUCAGUGUCACGGUUAGGUAAUUAGUUAAUUAGGAUUAGUUUUAACUUUAACCCAGAUUUAAUUAGCAGGCGGGCCCCACUUGUCAGUGACCCUGGGGGGUCAAACCGCGGUCAAACCACGCUGACUCGCCGGCGUUUAGCUGCCGGCGACGUCCAGACGCGGCGGUGGUGUGCGGGUUUGCUCCUCCGGCGACCAAAAGGACGGCGGAGAGUACCUACGUGUAGCUGGGGGCGAGCCGCGUCGACUGGUGGUGGUAGUGGAGCUCGGGGUCGCCGGAAUCGACGCCGGCGACGAGUCGUGCGGCUGCCGGGGUACGGGCGUAGUCGGAACCGUAGCUAGAGAGCGCGGCGAGGAACGUGCGAGGGUGCUACGGGUUCCUGCCGUUGCGGUGAGGCUAAUGGCUACGGUGGUGUGGCCGUUGGAUGGCCGGAGCCUCGUCGGCGACGAGCUCGUGCGGCGGCGCGUUCGGGUGAACUUCGUGCGGUGGCUGCAGAGCUCGAGAGAGAGAGAGGAGAGGAUGGAAAGGAGGCCAUGCUCACGGCGGUUGCGACGGAGCAGACGGCGAGGUCGGAGACGAAGCUUCGGGGCAAACGAGCGCUCGGGGCUCGGCUUGCUCGAAGGAGUGGGCGACGGCGGUGCUGUAGGACACGGUAGUACGGCGCAAGGUCGACGGUGGCCGCGGUUACUCCGGUGAGGUGUCUGCGGCGGCGUCGGCCAUGGUGGGGAGAAGGCGAGGGAGAGGCGAUGGGGGAGAAUGGCGAUGUCCGGGGGCUCGGGGCGCGUCGAGAGAGGUCGGCCAGCUCAUCCGCGGCGAGGGCGGCAAGCUGCUGGCGCCGUGGCGAGCUCACGCUCACCGGCGUCAGCUCUCUGCCUGCUCUGGCGAGAGCAGGCAGCUGACUGGCGCGGGCCAGCACAGUGCUGGGCCGCCAGGUGGGCUGCCAGGUAAGUUUUCUGCCUUCUGUUCUUUUCUCUUUUUUAUUUAUUUCUGUACUGUGUUUUGAAAUAGUAAAAAUACUGUUUCAUUUGGAAAAAUCCUGGAAACAUUCUGAGGCACCUUUGAGAUUAUUCCCAACAGCCUAAAAAUACCUUCAAGAUUAUUUGGGCAUUUGAAAAUAUUUAUAGCAUUUAAAAUGCCCAAAUGCAAAUACUUAUGGCUUGUGCAAAAAUCCAAGAUGGCCUCCAAAAAUAUGAAACCAUUUUUGGCAGAGGUUUUAACCAAGACCAAAGGUGGUGAACAUUUAUGGAGGGCAUUUCAGGUUCAUUGGAAAAAAUUUAGUAAACCCUAGUUGUUCCAGGGGGGGUGCUGGGGGUUUUCUGGCAUCCCCAUUUCAGGUUUCUGUGAAAUGUAGACAUGAUGCAACACUCUAAUGCAUGAACUAACUAGGAUGUGACAGAGUUGAUCUUCCAGAUAAAAUAGUGAUUGACAGAAUUCUCUAGUCACCAUCACCAAGUUAGUAGAACUUCGUGAUGAACUAUAGUAUGCAAGGGAUGACGAAAGUAAUUCCCGAGCUCUUCGUGAUGCUGAAAUCGACGAAGGUAGAAAUCAAGAAAAACAUCAAGUGUUGAUGGUUGACGAGACCACUAGUUUCAAGAAAAGGGCAAAGGGAAGAAGGGGAACUUCAAGAAGAACGGCAAGCAAGUUGCUGCUCAAGUGAAGAAGCCUAAGUCUGGUCCUAAGCCUGAGACUAAGUGCUUCUACUGCAAAGGUACUGGUCACUGGAAGCGGAACUACCCCAAGUAUUUGGUGGAUAAGAAGGAUGGCAAAGUGAACAAAGGUAUAUUGGAUAUACAUGUUAUUGAUGUGUACUUUACUAGUGUUUAUAGCAACCCCUCGACAUUUGAUACUGGUUCAGUUGCUAAGAGUAGUAACUCGAAACGGGAGUUGCAGAAUAAACAGAGACUAGUAAAAAGGCGAGGUGACGAUGUGUGUUGGAAAUAGUUCCAAGAUUGAUAUGAUCAUCAUCGCACACUCCCUGUACUUUCGGGAUUAGUGUUAAAACUAAAUAAGUGGUAUUUGGUGUUUGCAUUGAGCAUGAAUAUGAUUUGAUCAGGUUUACUGCAAUACGGUUAUUCAUUUAAGUUAGAGAACAAUUGUUGUUCUGUUUACAUGAAUAAAAACCUUCUAUGGUCAUACACACCAACGAAAAUGGUUUGUUGGAUCUCGAUCGUAGUGAUACACAUAUUCAUAAUAUUGAAGCCAAAAGAUGCAAAGUUAAUAAUGAUAGUGCAACUUAUUUGUGGCACUGCCGUUUAGGUCAUAUUGGUGUAAAGCGCAUGAAGAAACUCCAUACUGAUGGGAUUUUGGAAUCACUUGAUUAUGAAUCACUUGAUGCUUGCGAUCCGUGCCUCAUGGACAAGAUGACUAAAACGCCCUUCUCCGGAACUAUGGAGAGAGCAACAGAUUUGUUGGAAAUCAUACAUACAGAUGUAUGUGGCCCGAUGAAUAUUGAGGCUCGUAGCAGGUAUCAUUAUUUUCUGACCUUCACAGAUGAUUUGAGCAGAUAUGGGUAUAUCUACUUAAUGAAACAGAAGUCUGAAACAUUUGAAAAGUUCAUAUAAUUUCAGAGUGAAGCGAAAAAUCAUCGUAACAAGAAAACAAAGUUUCUACGAUCUGAUCGUGGAGAAGAGUAUUUGAGUUACGAGUUUGGCCUUCAGUUAAAACAAUGUGAAAUAGUUUCACUACUCACGCCACCUGGAACACCACGGUGUAAUGGUGUGUCCGAACAGCAUAACCGUACUUUAUUAGAUAUGGUGCGAUAUAUGAUGUUUCUUACCGAUCUACCACUAUCGUUUUGGGGUUAUGCAUUAGAGACAGCUGCAUUCACGUUAAAUAGGGUACCAUCAAAAUCCGUUGAGACGACGCCUUAUGAACUAUGGUUUGGCAAGAAACCAAAGUUGUCGUUUCUUAAAGUUUGGGGUUGCGAUGCUUAUGUGAAGAAACUUCAACCUGAUGCUCGAACCUAAAUCGGAGAAAUGUGUCUUCAUAGGAUACCCAAAGGAGACUGUUGGGUACACCUUCUAUCANNNNNNNNNNNNNNNNNNNNNNNNNNNNNNNNNNNNNNNNNNNNNNNNNNNNNNNNNNNNNNNNNNNNNNNNNNNNNNNNNNNNNNNNNNNNNNNNNNNNNNNNNNNNNNNNNNNNNNNNNNNNNNNNNNNNNNNNNNNNNNNNNNNNNNNNNNNNNNNNNNNNNNNNNNNNNNNNNNNNNNNNNNNNNNNNNNNNNNNNNNNNNNNNNNNNNNNNNNNNNNNNNNNNNNNNNNNNNNNNNNNNNNNNNNNNNNNNNNNNNNNNNNNNNNNNNNNNNNNNNNNNNNNNNNNNNNNNNNNNNNNNNNNNNNNNNNNNNNNNNNNNNNNNNNNNNNNNNNNNNNNNNNNNNNNNNNNNNNNNNNNNNNNNNNNNNNNNNNNNNNNNNNNNNNNNNNNNNNNNNNNNNNNNNNNNNNNNNNNNNNNNNNNNNNNNNNNNNNNNNNNNNNNNNNNNNNNNNNNNNNNNNNNNNNNNNNNNNNNNNNNNNNNNNNNNNNNNNNNNNNNNNNNNNNNNNNNNNNNNNNNNNNNNNNNNNNNNNNNNNNNNNNNNNNNNNNNNNNNNNNNNNNNNNNNNNNNNNNNNNNNNNNNNNNNNNNNNNNNNNNNNNNNNNNNNNNNNNNNNNNNNNNNNNNNNNNNNNNNNNNNNNNNNNNNNNNNNNNNNNNNNNNNNNNNNNNNNNNNNNNNNNNNNNNNNNNNNNNNNNNNNNNNNNNNNNNNNNNNNNNNNNNNNNNNNNNNNNNNNNNNNNNNNNNNNNNNNNNNNNNNNNNNNNNNNNNNNNNNNNNNNNNNNNNNNNNNNNNNNNNNNNNNNNNNNNNNNNNNNNNNNNNNNNNNNNNNNNNNNNNNNNNNNNNNNNNNNNNNNNNNNNNNNNNNNNNNNNNNNNNNNNNNNNNNNNNNNNNNNNNNNNNNNNNNNNNNNNNNNNNNNNNNNNNNNNNNNNNNNNNNNNNNNNNNNNNNNNNNNNNNNNNNNNNNNNNNNNNNNNNNNNNNNNNNNNNNNNNNNNNNNNNNNNNNNNNNNNNNNNNNNNNNNNNNNNNNNNNNNNNNNNNNNNNNNNNNNNNNNNNNNNNNNNNNNNNNNNNNNNNNNNNNNNNNNNNNNNNNNNNNNNNNNNNNNNNNNNNNNNNNNNNNNNNNNNNNNNNNNNNNNNNNNNNNNNNNNNNNNNNNNNNNNNNNNNNNNNNNNNNNNNNNNNNNNNNNNNNNNNNNNNNNNNNNNNNNNNNNNNNNNNNNNNNNNNNNNNNNNNNNNNNNNNNNNNNNNNNNNNNNNNNNNNNNNNNNNNNNNNNNNNNNNNNNNNNNNNNNNNNNNNNNNNNNNNNNNNNNNNNNNNNNNNNNNNNNNNNNNNNNNNNNNNNNNNNNNNNNNNNNNNNNNNNNNNNNNNNNNNNNNNNNNNNNNNNNNNNNNNNNNNNNNNNNNNNNNNNNNNNNNNNNNNNNNNNNNNNNNNNNNNNNNNNNNNNNNNNNNNNNNNNNNNNNNNNNNNNNNNNNNNNNNNNNNNNNNNNNNNNNNNNNNNNNNNNNNNNNNNNNNNNNNNNNNNNNNNNNNNNNNNNNNNNNNNNNNNNNNNNNNNNNNNNNNNNNNNNNNNNNNNNNNNNNNNNNNNNNNNNNNNNNNNNNNNNNNNNNNNNNNNNNNNNNNNNNNNNNNNNNNNNNNNNNNNNNNNNNNNNNNNNNNNNNNNNNNNNNNNNNNNNNNNNNNNNNNNNNNNNNNNNNNNNNNNNNNNNNNNNNNNNNNNNNNNNNNNNNNNNNNNNNNNNNNNNNNNNNNNNNNNNNNNNNNNNNNNNNNNNNNNNNNNNNNNNNNNNNNNNNNNNNNNNNNNNNNNNNNNNNNNNNNNNNNNNNNNNNNNNNNNNNNNNNNNNNNNNNNNNNNNNNNNNNNNNNNNNNNNNNNNNNNNNNNNNNNNNNNNNNNNNNNNNNNNNNNNNNNNNNNNNNNNNNNNNNNNNNNNNNNNNNNNNNNNNNNNNNNNNNNNGUGAUUGACAUGACCCAUUCCGUUAGCUUAGCACUCGAUCGUUUAGUAUGUUGCUAUUGCUUUCUUCAUGACUUAUACAUGUUCCUAUGACUAUGAGAUUAUGCAACUCCCGUUUACCGGAGGAACACUUUGUGUGCUACCAAACGUCACAACGUAAAUGGGUGAUUAUAAAGGUGCUCUACAGGUGUCUCCAAAGGUACUUGUUGGGUUGGCGUAUUUCGAGAUUAGGAUUUGUCACUCCAAUUGUCGGAGAGGUAUCUCUGGGCCCACUCGGUAAUGCACAUCACUAUAAGCCUUGCAAGCAUUGUGACUAAUGAGUUAGUUGCGGGAUGAUGUGUUACGGAACGAGUAAAGAGACUUGCCGGUAACGAGAUUGAACUAGGUAUCGAGAUACCGACGAUCAAAUCUCGGGCAAGUAACAUACCGGUGACAAAGGGAACAAUGUAUGUGUUAUGCGGUCUGGCCGAUAAAGAUCUUCGUAGAAUAUGUGGGAGCCAAUAUGGGCAUCCAGGUCCCGCUAUUGGUUAUUGACCGGAGACGUGUCUCGGUCAUGUCUACAUAGUUCUCGAACCCGUAGGGUCCGCACGCUUAACGUUACGAUGGCAGUUUUAUUGAUUUUUGAUGUACCGAAGGAGUUCGGAGUCCCGGAUGAGAUCGGGGAUAUGACAAGGAGUCUCGAAAUGGUCGAGACGUAAAAAUUGAUAUUGGAUGACUAUAUUCGGACUUGGAAAGGUUCCGAGUGAUUCGGGUAGUUUUCGGAGUACCGGAGAGUUACGGGAAUUCGUAUUGGGCCUUAAUGGGCCAUACGGGAAAGGAGAGAAAGGCCUCAAAAGGUGGCCGCACCCCUCCCCAUGGUCUGGUCCGAAUUGGACUAGGGAAGGGGGGGCGCACCCUUCCUUCUUUCUCCUUCCCCCUUCCCUUCUCCUACUCCCACAAGGAAAGGAGGAGUCCUACUCCCGGUGGGAGUAGGACUCCCCCCUAUGGCGCGCCUCUCCCCUUGGCCGGCCGCCUCCCCCUUGCUCCUUUAUAUACGGGGGCAGGGGGGCACCCCAGAGACACAACAAUUGAUCCUUGAGAUCUCUUAUCCGUGUGCGGUGCCCCCCUCCACCAUAUUACACCUCGAUAAUACCGUUGCGGAGCUUAGGCGAAGCCCUGCGUCGGUGGAACAUCAUCAUCGUCACCACGCCGUCGUGCUGACGAAACUCUCCCUCAACACUCGGCUGGAUCGGAGUUCGAGGGACGUCAUCGAGCUGAACGUGUGUAGAACUCGGAGGUGCCGUACGUUCGGUACUUGAUCGGUCGGAUCGUGAAGACGUACGACUACAUCAACCGCGUUGUGAUAACGCUUCCGCUGUCGGUCUACGAGGGUACGUGGACAACACUCUCCCCUCUCGUUGCUAUGCAUCACCAUGAUCUUGCGUGUGCGUAGGAAUUUUUUGAAAUUACUACGUUCCCCAACAGUGGCAUCCGAGCUUGGUUUUAUGCGUUGAUGCUAUGCACGAGUAGAACACAAGUGAGUUGUGGGCGAUAUAAGUCAUACUGCUUACCAGCAUGUCAUACUUUGGUUCAGCGGUAUUGUGAGAUGAAGCGGCCCGGACCGACAUUACGCGUACGCUUACGCGAGACUGGUUUCACCGUUGCGAGCACUCGUUGCUUAAAGGUGACUGGCGGGUGUCUGUCUCUCUCACUUUAGUUGAACCGAGUGUGGCUACGCCCGGUUCUUGCGAAGGUUAAAACAGCACCAACUUGACAAACUAUCGUUGUGGUUUUGAUGCGUAGGUAAGAAUGGUUCUUGCUAAGCCCGUAGCAGCCACGUAAAAUAUGCAACAACAAAGUAGAGGACGUCUAACUUGUUUUUGCAGGGCAUGUUGUGAUGUGAUAUGGUCAAGACAUGAUGUGAUAUAAUGUGUUGUAUGAGAUGAUCAAGUUUUGUAACCGAGUUAUCGGCAACUGGCAGGAGCCAUAUGGUUGUCGCUUUAUUGUAUGAGAUGCAAUCGCCAUGUAAUAGUUUACUUUAUCACUAAGCGGUAGCGAUAGUCGUAAAAGCAAUAAGUUGGCGAGACGACAAUGAUGCUACGAUGGAGAUCAAGGUGUCGCGCCGGUGACGAUGGUGAUCAUGACGGUGCUUCGGAGAUGGAGAUCACAAGCACAAGAUGAUGAUGGCCAUAUCAUAUCACUUAUAUUGAUUGCAUGUGAUGUUAAUCCUUUAUGCAUCUUAUCUUGCUUUGUUUGACGGUAGCAUUAUAAGAUGAUCCUUCACUAAAUUAUCAAAGUAUAAGUCUUCUCCCUGAGUAUGCACCGUUGCGAAAGUUCUUCGUGCUGAGACACCACGUGAUGAUCGGGUGUGAUAGGCUCUACAUUCAAAUACAACGGGUGCAAAACAGUUGCACACGCGGAAUACUCAGGUUAAACUUGACGAGCCUAGCAUAUAACAGAUAUGGCCUCGGAACACGGAGACCGAAAGGUCGAGCGUGAAUCAUAUAGUAGAUAUGAUCAACAUAGUGAUGUUCACCAUUGAAACUACUCCAUCUCACGUGAUGAUCGGACAUGGUUUAGUUGAUAUGGAUCACGUGAUCACUUAGAGGAUUAGAGGGAUGCCUAUCUAAGUGGGAGUUCUUAAGUACUAUGAUUAAUUGAACUUAAAUUUAUCAUGAACUUAGUCCUGAUAGUAUUUUGCAAAUUAUGUUGUAGAUCAAUAGCUCGCGUUGUUGCUUCCCUGUGUUUAUUUUUGAUAUGUUCCUAGAGAAAAAAUAUGUUGAAAGAUGUUAGUAGAUAAGAUGCGGAUUGGAUCCGUGAUCUGAGGAUUAUCCUCAUUGCUGCACAGAAAAAUUAUGUCCUUGAUGCACCGGUAGGUGACAGACCUAUUGCAGGAGCAGAUGCAGACGUUAUGAACGUUUGGCUAGCUCAAUAUGAUGCCUAGUUGAUAGUUUAGUGCACCAUGCUUAAACGGCUUAGAAUCAGGACUUCAAAGACGUUUUGAACGUCAUGGACCAUAUGAGAUGUUCCAGGAGUUGAAGUUAAUAUUUCAAGCAAAUACCCGAGUUGAGAGAUAUGAAGUCUCCAACAAGUUCUAUAGCUAAAAGAUGGAGGAGAAUCGCUUAACUAGUGAGCAUGUGCUCAGAUUGUCUGGGUACUACAAUCGCUUGAAUCAAGUGGGAGUUGAUCUUCCAGAUAAAAUAGUGAUUGACAGAAUUCUCUAGUCACCAUCACCAAGUUAGUAGAACUUCGUGAUGAACUAUAGUAUGCAAGGGAUGACGAAAGUAAUUCCCGAGCUCUUCGUGAUGCUGAAAUCGACGAAGGUAGAAAUCAAGAAAAACAUCAAGUGUUGAUGGUUGACGAGACCACUAGUUUCAAGAAAAGGGCAAAGGGAAGAAGGGGAACUUCAAGAAGAACGGCAAGCAAGUUGCUGCUCAAGUGAAGAAGCCUAAGUCUGGUCCUAAGCCUGAGACUAAGUGCUUCUACUGCAAAGGUACUGGUCACUGGAAGCGGAACUACCCCAAGUAUUUGGUGGAUAAGAAGGAUGGCAAAGUGAACAAAGGUAUAUUGGAUAUACAUGUUAUUGAUGUGUACUUUACUAGUGUUUAUAGCAACCCCUCGACAUUUGAUACUGGUUCAGUUGCUAAGAGUAGUAACUCGAAACGGGAGUUGCAGAAUAAACAGAGACUAGUAAAAAGGCGAGGUGACGAUGUGUGUUGGAAAUAGUUCCAAGAUUGAUAUGAUCAUCAUCGCACACUCCCUGUACUUUCGGGAUUAGUGUUAAAACUAAAUAAGUGUUAUUUGGUGUUUGCGUUGAGCAUGAAUAUGAUUUGAUCAGGUUUACUGCAAUACGGUUAUUCAUUUAAGUUAGAGAACAAUUGUUGUUCUGUUUACAUGAAUAAAAACCUUCUAUGGUCAUACACACCAACGAAAAUGGUUUGUUGGAUCUCGAUCGUAGUGAUACACAUAUUCAUAAUAUUGAAGCCAAAAGAUGCAAAGUUAAUAAUGAUAGUGCAACUUAUUUGUGGCACUGCCGUUUAGGUCAUAUUGGUGUAAAGCGCAUGAAGAAACUCCAUACUGAUGGGAUUUUGGAAUCACUUGAUUAUGAAUCACUUGAUGCUUGCGAUCCGUGCCUCAUGGACAAGAUGACUAAAACGCCCUUCUCCGGAACUAUGGAGAGAGCAACAGAUUUGUUGGAAAUCAUACAUACAGAUGUAUGUGGCCCGAUGAAUAUUGAGGCUCGUAGCAGGUAUCAUUAUUUUCUGACCUUCACAGAUGAUUUGAGCAGAUAUGGGUAUAUCUACUUAAUGAAACAGAAGUCUGAAACAUUUGAAAAGUUCAUAUAAUUUCAGAGUGAAGCGAAAAAUCAUCGUAACAAGAAAACAAAGUUUCUACGAUCUGAUCGUGGAGAAGAGUAUUUGAGUUACGAGUUUGGCCUUCAGUUAAAACAAUGUGAAAUAGUUUCACUACUCACGCCACCUGGAACACCACGGUGUAAUGGUGUGUCCGAACAGCAUAACCGUACUUUAUUAGAUAUGGUGCGAUAUAUGAUGUUUCUUACCGAUCUACCACUAUCGUUUUGGGGUUAUGCAUUAGAGACAGCUGCAUUCACGUUAAAUAGGGUACCAUCAAAAUCCGUUGAGACGACGCCUUAUGAACUAUGGUUUGGCAAGAAACCAAAGUUGUCGUUUCUUAAAGUUUGGGGUUGCGAUGCUUAUGUGAAGAAACUUCAACCUGAUGCUCGAACCUAAAUCGGAGAAAUGUGUCUUCAUAGGAUACCCAAAGGAGACUGUUGGGUACACCUUCUAUCAUAGAUCCGAAGGCAAGACAUUCGUUGAUAAGAAUGGAUCCUUUCUGGAGAAGGAGUUUCUCUCGAAAGAAGUGAGUGGGAGGAAAGGAGAACUUGAUGAGGUAACUGUACCUGCUCCCUUAUUGGAAAGUAGUUCAUCACAGAAAUCUGUUCCUGUGACUCCUACACCAAUUAGUGAGGAAGUUAAUGAUGAUGAUCAUGGAACUUCAGAUCAAGUUAUUACUGAACCUCGUAGGUCAACCAGAGUAAGAUCCGCACCAGAGUGGUACGGUAAUCCUGUUCUAGAGGUUAUGUUACUAGACCAUGACGAACCUACGAACUAUGAGGAAGCGAUGAUGAGCCCAGAUUCCGCGAAAUGGCUUGAGGCCAUGAAAUCUGAGAUAAGAUCCAUAUAUGAGAACAAAGUGUGGACUUUGAUUGACUUGCCCAAUGAUCGGCGAGCCAUUGAGAUUAAAUGGAUCUUCAAGAGGAAGACGGACGUUGAUAGUAGUGUUACUAUCUACAAAGCUAGACUUGUCGGAAAAAGGUUUUUGACAAAGUUCAAGGUGUUGACUACGAUGAGAUUUUCUCACUCGCAGCGAUGCUUAAGUCUGUCCGAAUCAUGUUUAGCAAUUGCCGCAUUUUAUGAAAUCUGGCAAAUGGAUAAACAAAACUACAUUCCUUAAUGGAUUUAUUAAAUAAGAGUUGUAUAUGAUGCAACCAGAAGGUUUUGUCAAUCCUAAAGGUGCUAACAAAAUAUGCAAGCUCCAGCGAUCCAUCUAUGGACUGGUGCAAGCAUCUCGGAGUUGGAAUAUACACUUUGAUAAGUUGAUCAAAGGAUAUAGUUUUAUACAGACUUGCGGUGAAGCCUGUAUUUACAAGAAAGUGAGUGGGAGCACUACAACAUUUCUGAUAAGUAUAUGUAAGUGACAUAUUGUUGAUCGAAAAUAAUGUAGAAUUAUUCUGCAAAGCAUAAAGGAGUUUUUCAAAGAAAGACCUCGGUGAAGCUGCUUACAUAUUGAGCAUCAAGAUCUAUAGAGAUAGAUCAAGACGCUUGAUAAGUUUUUUCAAUAAGUACAUACCUUAACAAGAUUUUGAAGUGGUUCAAAAUGGAACAGUCAAAGAAAGAGUUUCUUGACUGUGUUACAAGGUGUGAAAUUGAGUAAGACUCAAUACCCGACCACGGCAGAAGAUAGAAAAAGAAUGAAAGUCAUUCCCUAUGCCUCGGCCAUUGGUUCUAUAAAGUAUGUCAUGCUGUGUACCAGAUCUAUUGUAUACGCUACACUGAUUUUGGCACGGGAGUACAAUAGUGAUCUAGGAGUAGAUCACUGGACAGCGGUCAAAAUUAUCCUUACUGGAAUAAGGAUAUGUUUCUCGAUUAUGGAAGUGACAAAAGGCUCGUCGUAAAAGGUUACGUCGAUGCAAGUUUUGACACUAAUCUAGAUGACUCUAAGUCUCGGUCUAGAUACAUAUUGAAAGUGGGAGCAAUUAGCUAGAGUAGCUCCGUGCAGAGCAUUGUAGACAUAGAAAUUUGCAAAAUACUUACGGAUCUGAAUGUGACAGACCCGUUGACUAAAAUUAUCUCACAAUCAAAACAUGAUCACACCUUAGUACUCUUUGGGUGUUAAUCACAUAGCGAUGUGAACUAGAUUAUUGACUCUAGUAAACCCUUUGAGUGUUGGUCACAUAGAGAUGUGAACUAUGGGUGUUAAUCACAUGGUGAUGUCAAUUAUUGAUGUUAAAUCACAUGGCGAUGUGAACUAGAUUAUUGACUCUAGUGCACGUGGGAGACUGAAGGAAAUAUGCCCUAGAGGCAAUAAUAAAGUAUUAUUUAUUUCCUUAUAUCAUGAUAAAUGUUUAUUAUUCAUGCUAGAAUUGUAUUAACCGGAAACAUAAUACAUGUGUGAAUACAUAGACAAACAGAGUGUCACUAGUAUGCCUCUACUUGACUAGCUCGUUAAUCAAAGAUGGUUAUGUUUCCUAGCCAUAGACAUAAGUUGUCAUUUGAUUAACGAGAUCACCUCAUUAGGAGAAUGACGUGAUUGACAUGACCCAUUCCGUUAGCUUAGCACUCGAUCGUUUAGUAUGUUGCUAUUGCUUUCUUCAUGACUUAUACAUGUUCCUAUGACUAUGAGAUUAUGCAACUCCCGUUUACCGGAGGAACACUUUGUGUGCUACCAAACGUCACAACGUAAAUGGGUGAUUAUAAAGGUGCUCUACAGGUGUCUCCAAAGGUACUUGUUGGGUUGGCGUAUUUCGAGAUUAGGAUUUGUCACUCCAAUUGUCGGAGAGGUAUAUCUGGGCCCACUCGGUAAUGCACAUCACUAUAAGCCUUGCAAGCAUUGUGACUAAUGAGUUAGUUGCGGGAUGAUGUGUUACGGAACGAGUAAAGAGACUUGCCGGUAACGAGAUUGAACUAGGUAUCGAGAUACCGACGAUCAAAUCUCGGGCAAGUAACAUACCGGUGACAAAGGGAACAACGUAUGUUGUUAUGCGGUCUGACCGAUAAAGAUCUUCGUAGAAUAUGUGGGAGCCAAUAUGGGCAUCCAGGUCCCGCUAUUGGUUAUUAACCGGAGACGUGUCUCGGUCAUGUCUACAUAGUUCUCGAACCCGUAGGGUCCGCACGCUUAACGUUACGAUGACAGUUUUAUUGAGUUUUGAUGUACCGAAGGAGUUCGGAGUCCCGGAUGAGAUCGGGGAUAUGACGAGGAGUCUCGAAAUGGUCGAGACAUAAAAAUCGAUAUAUUGGACGACUAUAUUCGGACUUCGGAAAGGUUCCGAGUGAUUCGGCUAUUUUUCGGAGUACCGGAGAGUUACGGGAAUUCGUAUUGGGCCUUAAUGGGCCAUACGGGAAAGGAGAGAAAGGCCUCAAAAGGUGGCCGCACCCCUCCCCAUGGUCUGGUCCGAAUUGGACUAGGGAAGGGGGGCGCACCCUUCCUUCUUUCUCCUUCCCCCUUCCCUUCUCCUACUCCCACAAGGAAAGGAGGAGUCCUACUCCCGGUGGGAGUAGGACUCCCCCCUAUGGCGCGCCUCUCCCCUUGGCCGGCCGCCUCCCCCUUGCUCCUUUAUAUACGGGGGCAGGGGGGCACCCCAGAGACACAACAAUUGAUCCUUGAGAUCUCUUAGCCGUGUGCGGUGCCCCCCUCCACCAUAUUACACCUCGAUAAUACCGUUGCGGAGCUAAGGCGAAGCCCUGCGUCGGUGGAACAUCAUCAUCGUCACCACGCCGUAGUGCUGACGAAACUCUCCCUCAACACUCGGCUGGAUCGGAGUUCGAGGGACGUCAUCGAGCUGAACGUGUGUAGAACUCGGAGGUGCCGUACGUUCGGUACUUGAUCGGUCGGAUCGUGAAGACGUACAACUACAUCAACCGCGUUGUGAUAACGCUUCCGCUGUCGGUCUACGAGGGUACGUGGACAACACUCUCCCCUCUCGUUGCUAUGCAUCACCAUGAUCUUGCGUGUGCGUAGGAAAUUUUUUGAAAUUACUACGUUCCCCAACAGUAAUCGAGCUUAAUGCCCAGAUUGGCGCACCAAUUUUUCACCUCAUCGGCUGUGAAGUUGGAGCCGUUACCGGUGAUGAUGCUAUGUGGGACACCAUAACGGUGUACAACGCCGUAUAUAAAGUCUAUCACUGGUCUGGCCUCGGCCGUUUUAACUGGUUUGGCCUCUAUCCAUUUAGUGAAUUUAUCCACCAUGACCAACAGAUAUUUUUUCUUAUGGCUUCCUCCUUUAAGGGGUCCGACCAUAUCAAGCCCCCAAACCACGAAAGGCCAGGUGAUGGGGAUUGUUUGCAGAGCGGUGGGUGGCAUAUGGCUCUGGUUGGCGAAAAGCUGGCAUCCGACGCAACGUUGGACAAGGUCCUGUGCGUCUGCCCGGGCCAUCGGCCAAUAAAAACAUGUACGGAAGGCCUUGCUAACAAGGGUCCGAGCUGCGGCGUGGUCACUACCGAGGCUGGCAUGAAUUUCCGCCAAGAGCUGCCGCCCCUCUUCCUCGGAGAUACAUCUUUGAAGGACUCCGGUAGCGCUUUUCUUGUAGAGCUCUCCGUCGUGAACCUUGUAGGCCUUCAAACGCCUGACAAUGCGGUGGGCCUUAUUCUAAUCCUCAGGGAGUUCUUUCCUAUUAAGGUAGGCCAAGAAGGGUUCGGUCCAUGGGGCAAUGACUUCCGUAAUGAGAUGGGCCGACGGUGUUAUUUCGGUGGGCGAGCCCCCGGCGAUAUCGGUGUGUUCGGAAUCUGGGAUUGUGUUCGGAUCCAGACUAGCAUCGCCGCUUUCCCCUUGCCACACCACGGAUGGCUUAAAAAGCCUUUCCGGAAAGAUGUUAGGUGGUACGGAGUCGCGCUUGGCGCCGAUGCGAGCAAGGACGUCCGCCGCUUGAUUACUUUCUCGAGCCACGUGAUGAAACUUGAGCCCCUCGAACCGAGCUGACAUUUUUAGGACAGCAUUAAGAUAAGCCGCCAUUUUCGGAUCUUUGGCGUCAAAAUCUCCAUUUAUUUGAGAUAUUGCGAGGUUUGAGUCCCCGCGCACUUCUAGGCGUUGUAUGCCCAUGGAGGUGGCCAUCCGAAGACCAUGCAAUAAGGCCUCAUAUUCGGCUGCGUUGUUGGAGUCUGUAUAUAAUAUUUGUAGUACGUACUGGACUACAUCUCCAGUGGGGGACGUUAAAAUGACACCCGCUCCUAAUCCUGCCAGCAUUUUGGAGCCAUCGAAAUACAUGACCCAGUUGGAAUAUGUGCCGUACUCCUUAGGGAGUUCGGCCUCUGUCCAUUCGGCGAUGAAGUCCGCCAAUACUUGGGAUUCAAUGGAUCGACGUGGUUUGUAUGUUAUGUCGAAUGGAAGGAGCUCAAUGGCCCAUUUGGCAAUCUGGCCCGUAGCAUCGCGGUUGUUUAUUAUAUCACUGAGUGGUACUUCGGAAGCCACCGUGAUCGAACACUCUUGAAAAUAAUGUGGCAGCUUCCGGGAUGCCAUGAAGACCCCGUAUGCUAUCUUUUGAUAAUUGGGGUACCGGGAUUUGCAUGGUGUGAGAACAGUGGAUACGUAAUAUACUGGCUUCUGAAGCGGGAACUUAUGUCCGACCUGCUCUCGCUCAACAACGAGUACGGCGCUCACCACUGAUACGUCUCCAACGUAUCUAUAAUUUUUUAUUGUUCCAUGCUAUAUUAUAUUCUGUUUUGGAUGUUUAAUGGGCUUUAUUAUACACUUUUAUAUUAUUUUUGGGACUAACCUAUUAACCGGAGGCCCAACCCGAAUUGUUGUUUUUUUGCCUAUUUUAGUGUUUCGAAGGAAAAGGAUAUCAAACGGAGUCCAAACGGAAUGAAACCUUCGGGAACGUGAUUUUCGGAACAAACGUGAUCCAGAGGACUUGGAGUGGACGUCAAGCAAUCAACAAGGAGGCCACGAGGCAGGGGCGCGCCUACCCCCCUGGGCGCGCCCUCCACCCUCGUGGGCCCCUCGUAGCUCUCCUGACCGACCUCCUUCGCCUAUAUAUACUCAUAUACCCUGGAAACAUCAUAUACGGAGCCAAAACCCUAUUUCCACGGCCGCAACCGUCUGUACCCGUGAGAUCCCAUCUUGGGGCCUUUUCCGGCGCUCCGCCGGAGGCGGCAUUGAUCACGGAGGGCUUCUACAUCAACACUAUAGCCUCUCCGAUGAUGUGUGAGUAGUUUACCUCAGACCUUCGGGUCCAUAGUUAUUAGCUAGAUGGCUUCUUCUCUCUCUUUGGAUCUCAAUACAAAGUUCUCCUCGAUUCUCUUGGAGAUCUAUUUGAUGUAACUCUUCUUUUGCGGUGUGUUUGUUGAGAUCCGAUGAAUUGUGGGUUUAUGAUCAAGAUUAUCUAUGAACAAUAUUUGAAUCUCCUCUGAAUUCUUUUAUCUAUGAUUGGUUAUCUUUGCAAGUCUCUUUGAAUUAUCAGUUUGGUUUGGCAUACUAGAUUGAUCUUUCUUGCAAUGGGAGAAGUGCUUAGCUUUGGGUUCAAUCUUGCGGUGCUUGAUCCCAGUGACAGUAGGGGAAACGACACGUAUUGUAUUGUUGCCAUCGAGGAUGAAAAGAUGGGGUUUAUAUCAUAUUGCAUGAGUUUAUCCCUCUACAUCAUGUCAUCUUGCUUAAAGCGUUACUCCGUUCUUAUGAACUUAGUACUCUAGAUGCAUGCCGGAUAGCGGUCGAUGUGUGGAGUAAUAGUAGUAGAUGCAGGCAGGAGUCGGUCUACUUGUCACAGACGUGAUGCCUAUAUACAUGACCAUACCUAGAUAUUCUCAUAACUAUGCUCAAUUCUAUCAAUUGCUCGACAGCAAUUCGUUUACCCACCGUAAUACUUAUGAUAUCUUGAGAGAAGCCACGAGUGAAACCUAUGGCCCCCGGGUCUAUUUUCCAUCAUAUUAAUCUCCCGUCAACAAUUUAUUUCUCUUACCGUUUAUUUUGCUUUCUUUACUUUUAGUCUUUAUCAUAAAAAUACCAAAAAUAAUAUCUUAUCAUCUCUAUCAGAUCUCACUUUUGCAAGUGGCCGUGAAGGGAUUGACAACCCCUUUAACGCGUUGGUUGCAAGGUUCUUAUUUGUUUCUAUAGGUGCAAGGGACUUGAGCGUGGCCUCCUACUAGAUUGAUACCUUGGUUCUCAAAAACCAACACAGUGCUCAAGAGGUAGCAAGAAGGAUUUCUGGCGCCGUUACCGGGGAGUCUACGCACAAGUCAAGACCUACCCAUCACAAAACUCUUAUCCCUCGCAUUACUUUAUUUGCCAUUUGCCUCUCGUUUUCCUCUCCCCCACUUCACCCUUGCCGUUUUAUUCGCCCUCUUUUCCCUUCGCCUCUUUUUCGCUUGCUUCGUCGUUAUGGCUAGUCCUUUAUCUACUCCUUUGUCUCCCGAGAAUGAAAUUCUUAAUUUUAAACAAAGGGAGGGAGAAAAUCUAAAAGAUGCUUGGUACAGAAUUUGCAAUGCGCAAAAUAGAUCUACUAGGAAGCAAUCUACUUCCGUUCUUCUUCGCAAUUUUUAUGUAGGCAUCACUCCUUGGAAUAGAUAUAUUCUUGGUACCAUUACCGGAGGAAAUUUCUUGGGUAGCCAUACUUUUGAUUCCUAUAAUGCUAUGAUAGAUUUGUUUGGCCCACCACCUCUUUUGGUUAAUGGAACUAUUUUAACUUUGGAACAUGUGAUGCAACGGCUUGAAAUUAAUGAAAAUAAAGUUGCCACCGUAGAGUUGAUUGAAAUUUUGGAUAGAAAGAUCCACUACCAAGUUACCUAAUACGGAUCUAAGGUAGGAGUCGCUCUUAAAAAAUGUAAAGAAAAGGAACCUAUGGUUAAUGAAAAGAUAGAUCAAGAUUCCACUAGAAUCGAUAAAAUUGAGGAUAUUAUUACCAACCUAGGGCCUGCCUUUUCUUCCGUGAAAAACACUCCUUCUAAUGCUAAGAUUGCCAAAUUGAUGUAUGUUCCUAAAAAUAAGGGUGAAACUUCUAGUAAGGAAAAUGCGGACCUCAAAUCCAUAAGUGUUCACCCCAACUUUCUCGCUAUCCUUAAGGAACCUUUUGCUACAAAUGAUUUUCUCAAUUUUGUGCCUAGGAGUUUGAUAAUUAAUAAAAAUAAACAAACUCCUAGGGGUUAUAGGUGUCUUAUUGAAGAAUUGCCUACCAAAGAUGAUAAUACUUAGAUCUAUCCUUGUUUUUAUGCCUAGCUAGGGGCGUUAAACGAUAGCGCUUGUUGGGAGGCAACCCAAUUUUAUUUUAGUUUUUUGCUUUUUGCUCCUGUUUAGGAAUAAAUCUUUGAUCUAGCCGAUCUAGCCUCUAGUUAGAUUUGUUUUUGUGUUUCAAUUAGUGUUUGUGCCAAGUAAAACCUAUAGGAUCCUCUUGGAUGAUAGUUAUUUGUUCUUGCUGAAAAUUCCAGAAACUUUCUGUUCACGAAAACAAUUGUUUAAAAUCACCAGAACGUGAUAAAAUACUGAUUCCAAUUGCAGUAGAUCAAUAAACAAAUUAUUUAGGUCUUCCUAUUUUCGUAGAUUUUUCUGAGUUCCAGAAGUUUUCAUUAGAUACAGAUUACUACAGACUGUUCUGUUUUUGACAGAUUCUGUUUUUCGUGUGUUGUUUGCUUACUUUGAUGAGUCUAUGGUUAAUAAAAUAGUUUAUAAACCAUAGAGAAGUUGGAAUACAGUAGGUUUAACACCAAUAUAAAUAAAGAAUGAGUUCAUUACAGUACCUUGAAGUGGUGUUUUGUUUUCUUUCGCUAACGGAGCUCACAAGAUUUUCUGUUAAGUUUUGUGUUGUGAAGUUUUCAAGUUUUCGGUAAGGAUUUGAUGGAUUAUGGAACAAGGAGUGGCAAGAGCCUAAGCUUGGGGAUGCCCAAGGCACCCCAAGGUAAAUCCAAGGACACCAAAAAGCCAAAGCUUGGGGAUGCCCCGGAAGGCAUCCCCUCCUUCGUCUUCGUCCAUCGGUAACUUUACUUGGAGCUAUAUUUUUAUUCACCACAUGAUAUGUGUUUUGCUUGGAGCGUCUUGUAUGAUUUGAGUCUUUGUUUUUAGUUUACCACAAUCUUCCUCGCUGAAUACACUUUUGAGAGAGACACACAUGAUUCGGAAUUUAUUAGAAUACUCUAUGUGCUUCACUUAUAUCUUUUGAGCUAUAUAAUUUUUGCUCUAGUGCUUCACUUAUAUCUUUUAGAGCACGGUGGUGGUUUGUUUUAUAGAAACUAUUGUUCUCUCAUGCUUCACUUAUAUCAUUUUAAGAGUCCUACAAAACAGCAUGGUAAUUUGCUUAAAUUGUGAAAUUAGUCCUAAUAUGAUAGGCAUCCAAGAUUAGUAAAAACUUUCUUAUAAGUGCGUUGAAUACUAAGAAAAGUUUGAUGCUUGAUGAUUGUUUUGACAUAUGGAGGUAGUAAUAUUAAAGUUGUGCUAUUUGAGUAAUUGUGAAUUUGAGAAAUAAUUGUGUUGAAGUUUGCAAGUCCCGUAGCAUGCACGUAUGGUAAACAUUGUGUAACAAAUUUGAAACAUGAGGUGUUCUUUGAUUGUCCUCCUUAUGAGUGGCGGUUGGGGACGAGCGAUGGUCUUUUCCUACCAAUCUAUCCCCCUAGGAGCAUGCGCGUAGUGCUUGGUUUUUGAUGACUUGUAGAUUUUUUCAAUAAGUAUGUGAGUUCUUUAUGACUAAUGUUGAGUCCAUGGAUUAUACGCACUCUCACCCUUCCAUCAUUGCUAGCCUCUUCGGUACCAUGCAUUGCCCUUUCUCACCUUGAGAGUUGGUGCAAACUUCGCCGGUGCAUCCAAACCCCGUGAUACGAUACGCUCUAUCACACAUAAACCUCCUUAUAUCUUCCUCAAAACAGCCACCAUACCUACCUAUUAUGGCAUUUCCAUAGCCAUUCCGAGAUAUAUUGCCAUGCAACUUUCCACCGUUCUGUUUAUCAUGACACAUUUCAUCAUUGUCAUAUUGCCUUGCAUGAUCAUGUAGUUGACAUCGUAUUUGUGGCAAAGCCACCAUGCAUAUUAUUUCAUACAUAUCACUCUUGAUUUAUUGCCCAUCCCGGUACACUGCCGGAGGCAUUCAUAUAGAGUCAUACUUUGUUCUAGUAUCGAGUUGUAAUCAUUGAGUUGUAAAUAAAUAGAAGUGUGAUGAUCAUCAUUCAUAGAGCAUAGUCCCAAAAAAAAGGAGAAAGGCCAAAUAAAAAAAGGAAAGGCCCAAAAAAAUAAAAUAAAUAAAAUAAAAAAGGGGACAAUGCUACUAUCCUUUUUUCCACACUUUUGCUUCAAAAUAGCACCGUGAUCUUUAUGAUAGAGAGUCUCUUGUUUUGUCACUUUCAUAUACUAGUGGGAAUUUUUCAUUAUAGAACUUGGCUUGUAUAUUCCAACAAUGGGCUUCCUCAAAUGCCCUAGGUCUUCGUGAGCAAGCAAGUUGGAUGCACACCCACUUAGUUUCUUUUGUUGAGCUUUCAUGCAUUUAUAGCUCUAGUGCAUCCGUUGCAUGGCAAUCCCUACUCCUUGCAUUGACAUCAAUCGAUGGGCAUCUCCCUAGCUCAUUCAUUAGCCGCGUCAACACUACUAGGGAAAACCUUAUACACAGCAUCUUAGCAGCAGCGCUGGACAAAAUCACGCGCUACUGCUACUUAGUAGCAGCGCCCGUAAAUAAACCGCGCUACUGCUAUAACUUUAGCAGUAGCGCGUACUAGCAAAAAGCGAUGCUGCUAUGUUUGAACUGGGCACACAUGGCUAGCCCAACUUAGCAGUAGCGCGUAUCCUCGCCCUGCGCUACUGCUAUUCUCCUUAAUUGUAGUGCUUUUCUCGCACACGCGCUACUACUAACCCUACCUUAUCCUCCCCACGCGGCCGACCCUCUCUCACUCACUCUCCCUCUCAGUCAUUCUCGCCCGCGCCGAUACCCGUCGUCCGCCGCCGCCGCCGCCGUCGUCCGUCCUCCACCAAGGUACUCCCUCCUUCCCUCCCUCCUCCUCCCACCACGCCCUCCUCCCUCCUCCUCCCACCACGCCCUCCUCCCUCNNNNNNNNNNNNNNNNNNNNNNNNNNNNNNNNNNNNNNNNNNNNNNNNNNNNNNNNNNNNNNNNNNNNNNNNNNNNNNNNNNNNNNNNNNNNNNNNNNNNNNNNNNNNNNNNNNNNNNNNNNNNNNNNNNNNNNNNNNNNNNNNNNNNNNNNNNNNNNNNNNNNNNNNNNNNNNNNNNNNNNNNNNNNNNNNNNNNNNNNNNNNNNNNNNNNNNNNNNNNNNNNNNNNNNNNNNNNNNNNNNNNNNNNNNNNNNNNNNNNNNNNNNNNNNNNNNNNNNNNNNNNNNNNNNNNNNNNNNNNNNNNNNNNNNNNNNNNNNNNNNNNNNNNNNNNNNNNNNNNNNNNNNNNNNNNNNNNNNNNNNNNNNNNNNNNNNNNNNNNNNNNNNNNNNNNNNNNNNNNNNNNNNNNNNNNNNNNNNNNNNNNNNNNNNNNNNNNNNNNNNNNNNNNNNNNNNNNNNNNNNNNNNNNNNNNNNNNNNNNNNNNNNNNNNNNNNNNNNNNNNNNNNNNNNNNNNNNNNNNNNNNNNNNNNNNNNNNNNNNNNNNNNNNNNNNNNNNNNNNNNNNNNNNNNNNNNNNNNNNNNNNNNNNNNNNNNNNNNNNNNNNGUUCUUGCAAAUUGUAGGUAAUUUAAAUGUAGAUUUUAGAAUGUAGACAUUGUAGAAUGUAGUUUUUUAAUAGAAUUUUUUUGACUAUUUUAGGUGUUUUGAAUAAAAUAGAAGUAAGAAAAUUUAGGGUAGAACUAGGGUAGUAGAAUUUUUAGCAAGUGUUUAAUAGAAAUAGUUUAUUUAGUAAGUGAUUAAUAUAACUACUUUAUUUAUAUUAAAUGAUUAAUAGGACUAGUUUAUUUAGUAAGUAAAUUAAUAAACUAGUUGAACUAGUUGAAUUAAUAGAACUAAUGUAUUUUUAGUAAGAAAAUUAAUAUAACUAGUUGAACUACUUUAUUUUUAGAAAGAACUGUUUUUUUUCUAUUUAUAGUAAGUUUAUAUUCAGUAAGAACUAGUUGAAUUAAUAGAACUAGUUGAACAUGUCAUAUUUGUUGUUAUUUUUUUAUUUUAAGCAAUUAUUCGGGAUGUAUUAGUGAUAACUUAUAGGGUUUUUGCUUUUGUAGAAAUCAAGGAGCCCCUCCAUCAUCCCCGCCGUCGUCCCCGUCACCGACCCCCUCCGACCUCGAGGUGAGACCAGCCAAAUCUCCAUGUCAAUAUGAGUCCUAUAAGAUAUAUAUGAUGUAGAUAAAAACAUGUAUAUCCUGUGUUGAUCAAAUAGGAUAUGUGGUUGCCCAAGUGGCCGGUCAUGUUCAGGUUACACCUCCGAGUGGCCUAUGUUUUGCCGGAGUGUUGAUUAAUUUCCGUUCCGGCAAAUUUCAGGCGCUCGAUAUGUCCUUUUUUAGCAAAGGUCAUGCCGGAUUUUUCUGUGAAUUCUGGCAUGACUUGUGCUAGAAUAUGUAGGAAAUAUCGAGUGGCCUGGAUUUUCUUGAAAAAUAAUGAUCUAAUUUAGGUUUUUUAGUACAUAUAUUUAAUUGUACAAGUUUAAUCUUGGAAUUAUGAACGUAGGAAAUGUCGUACUCGGAUGACGGAAGUCUCCCAGGGGAGUGCAGCUGGUGCCACGACGAUCGAGGUCUGUGCGACAGGUGCCCUCACCUGGACGAUGAUCGGCGCUUCAGCAUUAAGCUCGAGGAGACCUUCGACGUUGAAACGGUACGCAACGACGACAAGUGUUUUUUUCGUAAUUAAGCACGACUUCAACUAUUUCAACGUCUAAUUUUCAUCUUUUACAAUUCGACUAGCUUAUCCCAUGCCAUGCAAGACGCUAUGUCUUGGAGAGGAUGGGUUUUGAAGACCAUGAAAAUUUUGAAACAAAGAAAAUACACCUAAGGACCCAUCAUGAUAUGGAUUUUGAAGUAAAUAUGUACAAUUCUCAGAGCGUAACCCAUUUUGAUUGCCAAAAUUGGGAAGCACUUUGCAAAAUGUAUGGUUUUUAUGAGGGUAUGAUUGUCACCAUGGAUCUUGGUGAUCCUGACAUCGAGCAAAACAAUAUGGACAUUUGGGUCCUUGUUGAUACGCUUCCGAUUCUACCGCUAUGUGAGUUUCUCAAACAUAGUUAUUAACUAUUAUACUGUUUAUUUCAAAAUAGUUGACAGCUUAUUUCCAUUGACAACUUAUUUUCAUUCUUCAAAGAAUGUGCGGAAGAUGGUAGACAAAACCCACUACACCGAUGGCUCCGAAUUAACUUAUAAGGAGAAAAAUCAUCUGAUCGCAUUUUGUACUUUCUUUGAGAAUUACAAUACCUAUUAUCAAACUCCUCCAAAUUAUGGUGAAUACGUGCCACUAGUACACGUGUUGAACAACGAUAACUUCUAUGGAGAUACCCUGGUAAGAUUUUUUACUAUUACGACAUCCGUGCAUCUUUUGCAUACUUCUAAAACUAGUACAUCAUUGCUAACUAUGAAGUUAUUACUAUGUUUUUCAACAGAAAAUCCCGAUGGAUUGUGUGCCUCAUCUGAUGUAUUACAAUGGUCGCCUUGAAGUUCUAAACAUACAGCCAGGUCAUCCUACGGAUCUCACCUGUGCAUAUCGGAUUUCUGAAACCGGUGAACACAUGCUAAUCAAAGAGUGGAAAAAUGUUUGGACAUUCGUAAGGAGGUUCUUGGAAGCAACAAUAAGCGAAAGGCAAGAAUUGGAGACAGGAUAAUCUGCAUUCUCCAUAAUGGAGAGCCAGGGGCUAUCUUGUUUUUUGCUAUUUUACCUUAGAGAAUAUAGUAGGUCCUAAGAGAAUGUAGUAGGUCCUAUGAGUUACAAUAUGUUUAUUAUGUGGUACAAUGUGUUAGAGUUGAUGAUGAGGAGUAGUUGUGAUUAUGACUAGUGACCAACUUGCUAUGUGAUGUCUCAUCGAUGAAAACGAUGAUCAUGAGGAGGUGUUAUAUGACAAUGAUGUAUUAUGAUGUUAAGUUGUUAAUGAUAUGAUGAUGAUAUUUAUUAUAUCAUUGCGUGAAAGAACCGCAUAUUAGUUUCAAGUGGAUGUCCAUCCACUUGAAACUAGUCCACGGUUCUUUCACCCAAUGAUGUAAUAACUCAUUAUGAUGUAAAAACAAUCUCUAAAUUGCUGCUGUAUGAAAACUUGUAUAGAGGUGUAUGAAUACAACAUGAAAUAAAAAAGAAAUAAAAUACGGAAUAAUAGUAGUAGCGCGGGCUGGGAGAAGCGCUACUAGUAAUUACCAGUAGCGCCGCGUCGAGAAAGUGCUACUACUAAGUCGGUGUAGCAGUAGCGUGGGUUAACCAACGCUACUGCUAACCUUUAGCUGUAGUGACAUACCAGUAGCGCUCCUGCCCGUGCUACUGAUAGUCCUAAAACCCGCGCUGCUGCUAGGCUUUUCCCUAGUAGUGCAAUGUCAGACUUUCUCCUUUUUUGUCUUCUCCACACAACCCCCGUCAUCAUAUUCUAUUCCACCCAUAGUGCUAUAUCCAUGGCUCACGCUCAUAUAUUGCGUGAAAGUUGAAAAAAGUUUGAGAUUACUAAAGUAUGAAACAAUUGCUUGGGUUGUCAUCGGGGUUGUGCAUGAUGAGAGCAUUCUUGUGUGACGAAAAUGGAGCAUGACCAAACUAUAUGAUUUUGUAGGGAUGAACUUUCUUUGGCCAUGUUAUUUUGAGAAGACAUAAUUGCUUAGUUAGUAUGCUUGAAGUAUUAUUACUUUAUGUCAAUACUAAACUUUUAUCUUGAAUCUUUCGGAUCUGAAUAUUCAUACCACAAAUAAGAGAAUUACAUUGAAAAUUAUGCCAAGUAGCAUUCCACAUCAAAAAUUCUGUUUUUAUCAUUUACCUACUCGAGGACGAGCAGGAAUUAAGCUUGGGGAUGCUUGAUACGUCUCCAACGUAUCUAUAAUUUUUUAUUGUUCCAUGCUAUAUUAUAUUCUGUUUUGGAUGUUUAAUGGGCUUUAUUAUACACUUUUAUAUUAUUUUUGGGACUAACCUAUUAACCGGAGGCCCAGCCCGAAUUGCUGUUUUUUGCCUAUUUCAGUGUUUCGAAGGAAAAGGAUAUCAAACGGAAUCCAAACGGAAUGAAACCUUCGGGAAUGUGAUUUUCGGAACAAACGUGAUCCAGAGGACUUGGAGUGGACGUCAAGCAAUCAACGAGGAGGCCAUGAGGCAGGGGGCGCGCCCUCCACCCUCGUGGGCCCCUCGUAGCUCUCCUGACCAACCUCCUUCGCCUAUAUAUACUCAUAUACCCUGGAAACAUCAUAUACGGAGCCAAAACCCUAUUUCCACCACCGCAACCUUCUGUACCCGUGAGAUCCCAUCUUGGGGACUUUUCCGGCGCUCCGUCGGAGGGGGCAUUGAUCACGGAGGGCUUCUACAUCAACACUAUAGCCUCUCCGAUGAUGUGUGAGUAGUUUACCUCAGACCUUCGGGUCCAUAGUUAUUAGCUAGAUGGCUUCUUCUCUCUCUUUGGAUCUCAAUACAAAUUUCUCCUCGGUUCUCUUGGAGAUCUAUUUGAUGUAACUCUUCUUUUGAGGUGUGUUUGUCGAGAUCCGAUGAAUUGUGGGUUAUGAUCAAGAUUAUCUAUGAACAAUAUUUGAAUCUCCUCUGAAUUCUUUUAUGUAUGAUUGGUUAUCUUUGCAAGUCUCUUCGAAUUAUCAGUUUGGUUUGGCCUACUAGAUUGAUCUUUCUUGCAAUGGGAGAAGUGCUUAGCUUUGGGUUCAAUGUUGCGGUGCUCGAUCCCAGUGAUAGUAGGGGAAACGACACGUAUUGUAUUGUUGCCAUCGAGGAUAAAAAGAUGGGGUUUAUAUCAUAUUGCAUGAUUUUAUCCCUCUACAUCAUGUCAUCUUGCUUAAAGCGUUACUCCGUUCUUAUGAACUCAAUACUCUAGAUGCAUGCUACAUAGCGGUCGAUGUGUGGAGUAAUAGUAGUAGAUGCAGGCAGGAGUCGGUCUACUUGUCACGGACAUGAUGCCUAUAUACAUGAUCAUACCUAGAUAUUCUCAUAACUAUGCUCAAUUCUAUCAAUUGCUCGACAGUAAUUCGUUUACCCACCGUAAUACUUAUGCUAUCUUGAGAGAAGCAACUAGUGAAACCUAUGGCCCCGGGGUCUAUUUUCCAUCAUAUUAAUCUCCCGUCAACAAGUUAUUUCUAUUACCGUUUAUUUUGCUUUCUUUACUUUUAGUCUUUAUCAUAAAAAAUACCAAAAAUACUAUCUUAUCAUCUCUAUCAGAUCUCACUUUUGCAAGUGGCCGUGAAGGGAUUGACAACCCCUUUAUCGCGUUGGUUGCAAGGUUCUUAUUUGUUUGUGAAGGUGCAAGGGACUUGAGCGUGGCCUCCUACUGGAUUGAUACCUUGGUUCUCAAAAACUGAGGGAAAUACUUACGCUACUUUACUGCAUCAUCCUUUCCUCUUCAAGGGAAAACCAACGCAGUGCUGAAGAGGUAGCAACCACCUGGUGUCUGGCCGAUAUGUAUAAUAGCAUGGGUUCGCCAACGUUUGGCGCGGCCAGGAUUGGGUUGCUCGCUAGGAGGGCUUUUAUUUCUUCCAGUCCGGCCGUUGCCGCAUCCGUCCACUCGAAGUGAUCGGUGCGCCGGAGUAGGCGGUACAGUGGCAAUGCCUUUUCUCCCAAUCUGGAGAUAAAGCGGCUUAACGCUGCCACACAUCUGGACAGUUUUUGGACCUGUUUAAGGUCUGUUGGUGUAGCCAAUUGCGACAAAGCUCGGAUUUUGGCUGAUUCCUCUGCUGGAAACAAUGAAGCCCAGUAGUUUUCCGGCGGGGACGCCGAAAACGCACUUUUCUAGAUUGAGCUUAAUGUCGUAUGCACGGAGGUUGUCGAAUGUGAGACGUAAAUCGUCUAUUAGCGACUCGACAUGCCUGGUCUUAAUGACGACGUCGUCCACAUAUGCUUCUACUGUCUUGCCAAUCUGCUUCUCCAGGCAUGUUUGAAUCAUGCGUUGGUAAGUGGCGCCAGUGUUUUUGACCCCGAAAGGCAUAGUGUUGAAGCAGAAAGGCCCAUAUGGGGUAAUGAAUGCCGUUGCGGCUUGAUCGGACUCCUUCAUCUUGAUCUGAUGGUAUCCGGAGUAUGCGUCGAGAAAACACAACGAGUCAUGUCCUGCGGUAGCGUCAAUGAUCUGAUCGAUCCGGGAGAGGGCGAAGGUAUCUUUGGGGCAAGCCUUGUUGAGGUCUUUGAAAUCGACACAUAGGUGCCAGGAUUUAUCCUUCUUUGGUAGCAUCACCAGGUUUACUAGCUAGUUCGGGUGUUUUAUUUCUCUGAUGAGUCCGGCUUCGAGUAACUUGGCUAGCUCUUCUCCCAUAGUUUGUCGUUUGGGUUCGAAAAAACACCACAGUGUUUGUUUGACCGGUUUAUAUCCCUUUAAGAUAUUGAGGCUGUGUUGGGCUAGCCUGCGUGGGAUUCCUGGCAUGUCAGAAGGGUGCGAGGCGAAUAUGUCCCAGUUUUCACACAGAAACUCUCAUAGCGCGGCAUCGACCAUUGGAUCGAGUUGUGCCCCGAUAGAUGCUGUCUUGUUGGGGUCUGUUGGAUGGACCUGAAUUUGACUAUUUCCUCUGCCGGCUUGAAGGAGGUGGAUUUGGGUCGUUUGUCUAGGACCACAUCAUCCCUAUCCACCGUGGAGCGCAAUGUGGUUAACUCUUCGGCCGCGAGGGCUUCAGAUAAUGCCUCAAGGGCGAGGGAUGCGGUUUUAUUCUCGGCGCGGAGUGCUAUGUCUGGAUCACUGGCGAGAGUGAUUGUGCCGUUGGGCCUGGGCAUCUUAAGCUUCAUGUAUCCGUAAUGAGGUAUAGCUUGGAAGCGUGUAAAUGCACCUCGCCCCAAGAGGGCGUGAUAUCCGUUGUUGAAAGGGGAAACUUGGAAGGUUAUCUCUUCGGACCGAUAAUUCUCCGGCGUACCGAAUACCACGUCAAGUGUGAUUUUUCCCACACACUGUGCCUCCCGACUAGGAAUGAUUCCUCGGAAGGUCGUGCUGCUUUGCUCAAUGCGGCUCCUGUCUAUUUACAUUUUAUGGAGUGUGUCCUCAUAAAUGAGGUUCAGUCCGCUGUCGCCACCCAUGAGAACCUUGGUGAGCCGAAAGCCGUCCACAAUUGGACUAAGGACCAAGGCGGCUGGUGCUCGGACUGUCCUGUAUUUUCGUUCGUCCCUGGCAUUAAAAGUUAUAGCCGUGUCGUUCCAAGGGUUUAUUUCUGCGAUUUGGCAGACUUCGGCGAGUUCGCGGAGUGCCCUUUUGCGCCUAUUGUUUGAAGCGAAUGUCUCGAAGACCGUCAGUACUUUGGGGUCGUCGUCUUCUGGGGGGGUGUUGUUUUGGUGUAUUCUUGGUGAGGAUAUCUUCGCCGCUCUUGGCCACUUGCCGGAGUAUCCAACAUGCUCUAAGGCUGUGGGUUGGUAUGUUAUCCGGUGUUGCGUGUAUUUUGCAUGGCCCAUUGAGCCAUCCUUCCAGAACGGUUCCGCGCCCCGUAGUGGAUUUGUAUUUCUUUACUAUUGGGCCGGGCGUGCCACGAGGGUGCACCCUUUUCGCCUGAACGAGGGGUUGAGUGUGGACCGAUGGUUCCCAACGGGCUGCCUGAGUUUUCCAGGUGCUUUCCAUUGCGAUGUACUUCUGUACGAUAGUUGCCAGGUCAGCAAAGUGUAAUAUGCGACGGCGGUUGAUGGCGUAGACGAUUCCUUCGUCCAUGCAAUUGUUUCAGAACAGGAGACGGGGGACACAAUGUUUACCCAGGUUCGGGCCCUCUCUAUGGAGGUAAUACCCUACUUCCUGCUUGAUUGAUCUUGAUGAAUAUGAGUAUUACAAGAGUUGAUCUACCACGAGAUCGUAAUGGCUAAACCCUAAAAGUCUAGCCCGUAUGACUAUGGUAAUGAGUCUCUCCUCUCCGGACUAAGUCCUCCGGUUUAUAUAGACACCGGGAGGAUAUAGGGUUACACAAGGUCGGUUACACAGAAAGGAAUCUACAUAUUUGAUCGCCAAGCUUGCCUUCCACGCCAAGGAGAGUCCCAUCCGGACACGGGUAGAGUAUUCGGUCUUUGUAUCUUCACGGCCCAUCAGUCCGGCCCAUGGCUAACAGGCCGGACGCCCGAGGACCCCUUAGUCCAGGACUCCCUCAGUCGACACGAGCUGCGGCCGAGCAAACAACGGGUAGGCUAUGCGGGGCCGAGCCCGACCCGUCAAGACAGGUCGGUUACGCGGGUUCUGCUGGGCCGUAGCCCACGGCGCCCUGCAAACCGAAAACCCUCGAUAAGCGAAUUUGAUAGUGAUUCCAACAAUUGAGUUGAAAUUCGAACAAUAAAACAUAGUUCGCGCACAAAUAAAAGCAUAAUUAUGUACGACAAACGCAAAAGGACUUCAUGCAAAAGCGACGACCACGUCCAUCAUCAUCGUGGUCUCUUUUCACCCGUCGUCAUGAUCUUCACUCCGCACCACCUCCAUCGAUGGCAUCGCAGCCCCCGAAUCCAUCACCGAAUGAUGCAAUCACUUAAAAUGGUACAAAUGAUUUGCACAACAUGGGACGUGAAAACAAACUCACAUAGUCGGAUUCCAUGAUUCCACUUGGAGGUGCAUUGCGAACUUGUUCCAAGCAAGCAACCCAACGGCUAAAAAUUGGCUUAAUCACGUCCCAACGACCUUGGAGUGACCGAAAGGUGCAUGGAGUCCUAUUGGGAUGCUUCCCCAUCAUGCGGAAGUAGUGAGCUUCGAUUCUUUGCCAAUACCUCUUGGCGGUUUGAGAUGUACCGGUGCAAGCAUCAAGAGACACCGCACUCCAAGCCUUGAUCAAGAUUUGGUCUUCCAACAUCGUGUAGCAUCAAGAGACACCUCACUCAUACACCCCCUCAUCUACCUCCUCCACUUCAUCUUCACCAUCGUGAUCAUCCACGCCACCCUCCAUUUCAUUGUAAUCGAAAUCAGCGAACGGGGCUUGAUCGAUGUCGACGGUGUUGGUGUUCAACAAGUUGACGAGCUCGGCAGUGGCAUUGUUCGAACCACUGCUGCAGUGAGUGACAUCAAGUCACGAGCUACCACAAGGGCAAAAAUCAAAGUAAGUAGAAGGGAUCGAAGAUGCAUACCUUCCGGCCAUUUCUUCGAACACCUCGCCUGCGGUGGAAGCAACGUCGUUGAACGCCAUCGUCGGGGAAUCUCUUGCCGGGGCGGAGGGACUGGAUGAAGGCGCCGGCCUUUUCGUAGGAACCUUCUUGCGCUUCACGCCCGAAACCUUGCCCACCUUCUCCGGCGGCGGCCGGGCAGAUUGUGCGGCGGCGACGGCGCCCGGCCACGUGCCUUCCCGAUGGGGCCAGCGGGAUUUCCACCCUGCACGACCACGUUUCCCUGUCGCUUGCGGGCAGCGCGGUGGUGCCUUGAGCGACGGCGGGGGCAACAUGACCGGCGACGAUAUCUGUCAGAGAGGAUUGCGCGUGCGUGACCUCCACGCUGACGGGGGACGGCUGGGAAGCUUUCAUGGCGGCGAAGAAUGGCCGGGGAAGAUAGACCGGAGCGGGCGGUGGCGGGCCAAUGGAGGCCGAGGGGGUGGGGAAGCGGGAGCGGCCGCGCGGAAAUUUCGCGCCAAAUCUCGCUGCGGAUAGGGGGCGAGCUCGGGUCGGCCUCCCACCCUGUGAAUCUAAAGGUUAAGAGCGAACUUUUGCCGCGCCUCGCAAAAGAAUUUACAGGUCGGACGCGUUUGUAGGGUCUGAUCGGGCAGUAUUUCCCGCGCGGCCCGUAUUUUGACGAUUAUUUUGCGGGUCACGGCAUUAUACGGGUCUGCAAGAGAUGCUCUUAUGCCGUUGCCGAGAACUGGACUCAGCUCUAAAUACUAUGUCUGCGUGACAGUUUAGUUUUGGUGCGUUGACUCUUCUUUUAUUUCCAAAACAUGAAGGCUGAGAUUUGACAGGAGAUACGAAAGUGACAUAGAUAUAUACAUAGUUUAAGCUGCACGUACUAGUACUCUAGUAGUGUAGAAGGGAAGACAAGACUAAAACGGAAUUUCAGAACAUGGGGCAACGGAGCACUUUAUUUUGAACCCCCCAAAACAAGUGCUUGAAAGAUUUGAAAAAAAUGAUCCUUUUACAUGAAUACGCAUGCAUGUGGUCUAAGUGCGUGCGAAAAUUCGUUCGAAAAUACUUUGUAUUGUCUGCUGCACAAAAAAGACAAAAUUUCGACCUAAAAGGUAAAAAAAAUUGGCCCCAAAUUUGCAUGUAUUUUGUCUUUUAUGUCUCUCACAUGCAAGCACGUAUAUUGGUGAAUUUUGGCAUGUUAUAUUGCACUGCUAUACGUGCACGUACACAAAAAUUUGGAAUUUUUCAAGCCGUACGGAUUUGUUAUUUUGAACUUCAAAAUAACGGGCACAUAGUGCCCAUGCUCAGAUGUCAUUUUUCGAGACAAGACGCCUGAUACAACAUGAUGAUCGGCUACAAAGCCCUUUCCAAGAGGGAGAAAACAAAAACUGAAAGCCGAAAAACCGACUACUCGCUACAUCUCAGCCCAUCUACGAGGCCCGCCGCACGAAAGUCAUGUCGUCCUCUAGUUAGUCCCUUCUUAUUGGACCAUGUGGAGUACAUUCCUAGGGGUUACGCCAUUGUACACCAUGUCGUUCCUGUGUCUAAAGGUCCAGAGAAGAAACAAGAUCACCGUCCAAAUGUCACUGGUGAGCUGCCUGCAGUUUCUUUACACACCCACCGAUCCACCAGGUUACUGUCCAUUGUAGGGAUCCACUCAUGCUUUUCCCAUGCAUGGGGAUGACCGUUCACACCUCUCUCGCAAGGACACACCCAAGAAGAAUGUGUUACAGAGUCUCUGGUUGUUGGUCGUAGAAGGUGCAAGCCGCCGGAUGCGGCAUUCCACGUUGCUCCAAACUAUCGGCCGUCCAACAUCUAUCUCGAGCUGCCAGCCACCCGAACACCUUCUGGCGCCCUAGACCUCCUUAUCAUGCAAGCACCGGGCCACAUCGUAUGUCCCCGCAAAGAAAGAAUGCACGAUAGGCCGACCUAACAAAGAAUCUCUCGUCCUUAUCCCGCACCAAAAUCAGGUAGUCCUCCACCUCCUCAUCCAACCGAACAUCCACAAGCUUAUCUCCAAGUAUGAAGAACUCACUCAGUGCUUCGAUCGAGAUCUGGUUGACAUCUUCCGGCAACCCACCGCCCCCCAGGCAAUCAUACACUGCUAGAUUUGAGUGCGCUUAUGCACACAAUGGUGGAGAUGUGGUGCGAAGUCGCAUCUUAAAGUAUUAAGUUAAAAACAGAGUAUUGCAAUAAGUACUUAUGGACAUCGGUUCAUUUUCUUCCAUAAAGCUUUCUAUCUCAAUUAACAUUCUUUUAAUUUCUUGCUUUGACAUUCUCGUCAACUUGCCAAGGUCAAAGCCUUUUUUCGUUUCCAUUGUUGUUUUAAUCCUUUGUAACUAGCAAAGCUAGUGAGACUGACAACCUCGCUAGUUCAGUUGAGGGCACAAGAAAGUUUUGUGUUUAUGUAUGUAGGUAUUGGUCAUUGGUUGUGCCGCGUAGCUCCUGUUGGUUCAAUAAACUUUGAGGUCACUUAAGAAAAAACAUUGGUUACUACAAACACUUGCACUUGUGGGCCCAACAACUUCCUAAUCGAGAGAAAGUAGUGCUCACGGCUGAAAACAUAACCAUCAUGCUUCAGCCUCUUGUUCGUGUGCAUAGUCAAGAUCAACACUAUGUCUUCCUCUUCGGUCAUAUAAAAUUCCUUGUCCGAUGAGGGAUCACCCCACAGAUAAGAUGAAUCAAUUGAAUUCAUCUACGAUAAGAAAAUCUCCAUCGCAAACUACUUACAUUUGUGCACAACAAAAAACGAGAAAGCAAAAAAAACAUUGCAGGCAAUUGGUGGAACACCUACAAUGCGAGAAGAAGACAACCAUUCGAUUGCUCGACGAAGCUGAGGUGCUCGCCGUGCUUGAUCAAAAUGGCCGGGGAGGGCCUCGUUGACGCUGGGAGGUUGACUUCGCAGCAAAAAAACGACGACGGCGUACCGUGGCCGCCAUCCAAAGCAACGAAGGUUGUGCUCGGUCGCGGCUGUCGCGUGGCCAACACCGGAGCUUCGGUGACCGCUAGUCGAGGCUAUGACCCGCAGAGGAGCGGCGAGGACCAUGACGGGCGGCGGAGGACCGACAACCAAUCGGAAUCGGGUGGCGGAGGGGUGCGUCGCCGGAUCCCGAUUCGACGGUGCGGCUGGGCUUCGACACGCGUCUGAAGCGACGAAGCCGGAAGAUGAAUGCGGGCCGGCGACGGUUUCGACGACAGGCAAAAUUACAGCAACAACGGUUAGGGGCAGAGGUGGUGCUGCUAGGGGGAAAUAUCCAGGUGACGGUUGGGCGUUCACGCGCGACUAUUUUUGGUUUGCGGCAACAGUCCGCGUGCAACAAAUACGCAGCCCGCCCAGUCAAUUUUUUAGCUGUUCAAAAAGGUUUUUGGCAAAAUUUUGCAACAAGGCCCCUUUUGGGUUGUUGAAGAGUGUACUGAUAGGCGCCGGCGCGUCGGCCAAAAAUUUUGGCCGGUCCCGCGUGGGCCGUUCGAUUUGCCUAAUACGGAGCCCCGCAGAACAGUUUGAUUAUGCUCCUAUCACUGUAGAUUCGGUCGUCGUCUUCGUCGCCCUGCAAAUCCCCCGCUCGCCCUGCAAAUCCCACGCACCUCCUCCCCCCGACUGAAUCACUAUCUUACUCCAGCACGGCCCCGCACCCACCUCCUCCCCUGCCGCCGGCUCGCCGCUGCCCGCCGGAGGUCAAAAACAUCCACCCCCCGCAUCUUCUAUGGCGAUCAUGGUUCCAGCAAAAUAAUUAUGCAGUCCCAACAAAAUUCACCGCCGGUUCCAGCAAUUUUGUGGGAAGCGACCACUGGCGACCUGGUUCCAGCAAAAAAUUGCUACGGUUCCAGCAUAUCUCACAGCCGGUGGUAACACUGGUUCCAGCAAAAAAUCUCACAAAACAACAAAUCUCUGUCAAAAUCGAUUGUAGCAAAAAACACAGCCAUUUUCAGCAACAAAUUAAUCUGGUUCCAGCAAAAAUCCUAGAAACAACAAAUGCAGCAAAAAUUCGCCUUACCGCCGCACCUCAGGAAGAGAAUUUGGUUCCAGCAAAAAAAAUCAUUGGGUUCCAGCAAACAAGAUUACCGGUUGUAGCACCUAGCUCGCCAAGCCCCAUUACAAGCUGGGGAAGAAGGCCGGUUCCAGCAAAAAAAAUUGCUGCUUCCAGCAAAAUGGAUCACUGGUUCCAGCAUCAUGGGAUUGUGCCCGCUUGCCGCAUGACCAUGGUAGCACUCCUCGUCUCGGGUGGUAGCACGCCGUACCGGUGGUUGCAGCUCCUCUGCGGCCGGUUGCAGCACGCCAUACGGGGGCGCGGUGUAGGGAGUCACCGAUUCCAGCUCACCGCGGCGCCAUUGCAGCAUCCCGCGGCACGCGGUCCAGGAUGCCGUUGCAGCUCGCCGGGGCAGCAUCUUGAUUUGCCGGAUACCAUGGGGUGGAUCUGCUGCCUUGGGCUCGCCUGAGGAGAGGAGGGGGAAGGAUCAGCGGAGGAGUCGCAUUGGCCGGGAUGGGGAGAUGGAAGAGGAGGAGAAAGAGAAGCGUCUUGUGGAAGAAGAGAGGUUGAGCGGUCGAUAGUAAGGUUUGACUGGUUGAGCGGUCACGUGGGGCGCAGGUGGCUUAGUAGCAGCGGGCUGCGCGAGCGAUUGAGCGGUGCGACCGGCCCAGCGUUCAGCCAACGCACCAACGUAAAACGUUUCAAUUUAUUUAAUCUUCAAUCAAAGCCUAGAAAACAGUUAGACCCUAAAAUUAAUAGGGCUGCUAUUGAAAAAAAGAUUACACAUGACAUGACAGUGAAAACGGUGGUGAAGCUGUUUUGUUGGAACCCAGCCGAGUAGGUGAAAGGAGUCUGCCUGCCUCGCUCCGCUCCCCAAUCGCCCAAUCCCCACACAAAACCCUCGCUUCCGCUGCCCAUGGCGUCGCUGAUGGACGACGUCACCGCCGAGAUCUUCCUCCGCCUCCCGUCGGACGAGCCUGAGCACCUCUUCCGCGCCGCCCUCGUCUGCAAGCCCUGGCUCCGCGUCCUCCGCGACCCCUCCUUCCGCCGCCGCUACAGCGUCUUCCACCGUGCGCCUCCCCUGCCACUAGUAGAAAAAGGGUCAUCUGUCCCGGUUGGUAAGGGCCUUUUGUCCCGGUUGUUGAACCGGGACUAAAGGGUCGUUACUAAUGCCCUAGCCCUUUAGUCCCGGUUCUUACACGAACUGGGACAGAUGGGCCUCCACGUGGCCGGUGCAGCGAGCCCAGGCAGGAGGGCCUUUGGUCCCGGUUGGUGGCACUAACCGGGACCAAUAGGCAUCCACGCGUCAGCAUUUCAGGGGCUGGGGUUUUUAUUUUUUUUAAAGGGGGGGUUGGGGGUUUUGGGGGGUUAAUUUAGGUGUUUCAUAUAUUGUGUUAGCUAGCUAAUUAAUAGAGAGAAGUGUCCUCUCUUAUCUCCGUGCUUGGUCGACUCUACGUACUAUAUACGUAUAGAGAGGACUAGACACGCUAGCUAGUAAGCAAAUGAAGGAAACAGAAGAUCGUCAUGAACAUAUAUAUGCAUACACAGAGAAAUGAUAUCGACCACCUCUCCUUCUCCGAGAGAUUGGUCGAACAACAAGUUCUCGUAUAUCUAUCCGACACUACCGGCUACAUAUAUACAAUAAUUAUCUCUUACAAUAUAAUCUCCUAAUUAUAUAUGAACACAGGGUCCACAUAGUAUUCUCCGUUUUUAGUGAUCACGUGGUCAAGGAAGAAUGCCGCCAAUUCCUCUUGAAUUGCUCGCAUACGAUCUGGUGGUAGGAGUUCAUCCCGCAUCCGAAAGAUCUAAUUUGAAGAAGGGGUCAAUACAUACAUAUAUAUAUAUAUAUGAAUAAAUGAAACUCAACACAAAUGAUGGUAAUAAAAUAAAAUUGUGAAUAUUAUUGCUUACGCACUUCAUAUUGUUCCUUAGAGUAGCCCCGCUCACAGGUCGUGUAGUGGAUGGACUCGCAAACGUAGUAUCCACAGGAAUCAUUUCCCUUGUUCCUGCCACAACCACUUUACAAGAAAUAGAGGUCAAUCAAACUGAUAAGCAAGCAUGCUAAAUGGUAUUGAUGAAACUAGCGCUUGAAUCACUAGGAGAUGCGCGGAACAUGCUACUAUAGUACUUACUUUCGGGUGUCUAAAUUGCAGCUUCUUCGGCAGUGCCGGAGCUUUUUUGGUGAAUUUUCUCCAAACCCUGCCAGACAAAGAAAACAAUUACUUAAUAUCAGGAAAUGAACAAAGUUGCUGAUAUGCAUGGUGGAUAAUGAUCGAUUUAACUUACUUCUCGAGCAUUUGAGUCAUGUCCGCAUAGUCCUGGGGAUCUUUUCGUCUCGAGUCUAAGACGGUUACUAGUCCCUGCUCAAGCUUAAUCUCUAGGAGAAUAUAGUGGAAGCUGCGCACGCAUGCAUAAGUCAUCAAUUACAUUACUAUAACCUGGACUAAUAAGGGAAACCGAAUAUGCACAAGACAGUAACACUCACUUGAAGUUGUAAGGAAAGAGUAUUAUAUCUUUGUUUUGAUUUAUUACCAACGAUCGUAGCAAGUUGGCCUCGGUAUUUUUGGCAUGAUAUUUAACCUCAGUUGCAUCUAUGAGAUUUGUGUUAAUGAAUCCAAUACCACCGAUUUGUCUUUUCUUCAAUUCGGCGAUCUUCAAUCUGCAUAAUAUAGUGAGGAUAAUUAUAAAUACAUGCAAUGAAAGAGCUGACCUAUAUAGAGAGACUUAAUGACAGAAGUAGUACUACUUACAGACAGUAGCAAGUGAUCGUUGAUUUAUCGAGGGCCUUUUGAUUGAAAAACUGGAAGAACUCCUCAAAUGGAACAUUCAACAUUUCAAUUCCAACGAGGUCAUGCUCCUCUUUAACUCUCAGCGUCAAAGUAUUCCUCCCCCCAGACUCUCUACAGGUUUUCAUGUACCAAUCAUGUAAUCUUCACAUCAUCGUUGUUAGAGAUCUUUCAUCUUUGACGAGAGGCUUCCCGUACUCGUAUCUGUGUUCGUCCACCUCCAAGAAAUCAUAAUGUACAUCGUCGGGCAGGUAAUCUCCAAGAUUGCUAUAACCGGGCACCAUCCUCGGAUCAUUAGCGACGAUGUCGUUAGACACCUUGAGCGGGGGGCACGAUUGGUUCGCUUGUUCGCCGAGCUGGGCAAUUUUUUUCCCAGCUCGUCGUUCUUUUAACCUUUGAUCACUGACAGUACUUCCCGACCGCUCCGCUUCGACAAAUGUCUUUGCAAUAAUGUGCUCAUAGUUGCCUUUCGGCGGAGACUUUGGUGGUUUUGUCAGGGCAGCCAGAGUGCGCUUCGCUUUCACUGGAUCUACCUUCUCCUCUGGAGGUGGAUGUUUCUUUGCUUUCACCCCUUCAAAGAAGUUCGUCACUUCGGCUCGCACGAUCUUCAUGGUUUCCUCCUCGGUCCUCUCGUAUGGUAACUUCUCUGGAGUCUUCAGAGAAGUACCGAAUCUGUAUUGCCUCCCGCCUCUGGCUGUACUGCUAGACGCCGACAGAGCAGACGGAGCGGCUGCGGCUGUCUUCUUUCCUUGCUUACGAGGCAGAGGAGAAGCACUAUGACGCGCUGGAGCAGCCGGAGCGGCGGCGGGUCUCUUCCGCCCUUGCUGACGAGGUGGAGAAGGAGGAGGUUGGCUGCUCGGGCGCGCCGGCGCAGGCGGAGAAGGAGGCGGAGUGCCGCCACGCGCCGGAGAAGGAGGCUGAGUGCCCUGAUCACUCGCCGGAGGAGGAGGCGGAGUGCCCUUACUCGCCGAAGGAGGAGGAGGCGGAGGCGUCCAGUUCGGAAGGUUGAUGAGCUCCUUCCGCCAUAGGCAUGGAGUCUUCAGAGUAGAACCCAGCCGAGUCUCCCCUUCACCGGUAGGGUGGUCAAGCUGGAGGUCCUCAAAUCCCUCCGUUAUUUCGUCCACCGUCACCCUAGAAUAUCCUUCUGGAAUCAGACGACAGUGAAAAGUUGCGCCGGGUUCAGGAGGUCGAACAGAGCCGACAUCCGCCUUGACUUUGAAGUUCUGCCAUUGCGUCAUAAGGUGGCAAUGUUGAGACUCCGUGAUAGCAUCCACGGGGUAGCUAGCAGGAGCCGUCAAGACAUGCUCCGGCUGAAGCAGCUCGGUGGAAGCGAAGCUCCUUCUCCGCUGAGAUGGCGGGGUAGCUUUGGGGGUAGUUUCGGUAGGUCGCUUGCUGCGAGCUACGUCUCGUUCCUCUAGCGCUUGAACCCUUUCGUGCAGCUUCUGAAUUUGGGUGUGCUCCACAUUUUUCCUCCUCUCCUGGCAUUUGUAACCGCCUGCGUCCGGAAAACCAGCCUUCCAUGGAACGGAGCCUGGCGUGCCUCGUGUCCGUCCAGGGUGCUCAGGAUUCCCGAGGGCCAUUGUGAGCUCGUCGUUCUCUCUGUCUGGAACGAACGUCCCUUGCUGCGCUGCAUCGAUAUAGUGCUGAAGCCUCUUGACUGGUAUUCUCAUUUGCUCAUCCUUCCAAACGCACUUCCCUGAUACAGGGUUCAAGGUUCCGCCAGCCCCGAAGAACCAAGUCCGGCAACGGUCUGGCCAGUUCAUUGUCUCUGGUUCGAUCCCUUUAUCAAGCAGAUCAUUCUCAGCCUUGGCCCACUUAGGCCGGGCUUUGAGGUAGCCACCUGACCCCGUGCGAUGGUGAAGCUUCUUCUUCGCAACAUUUUUCUUGUUUGUCGCUGACAUCUUCUUACUCUUUUCCGAUGUCUUGUGGGCCACAAAUGCGGGCCAGUGAUCUCUGAUCUUCUCAUAUUUGCCGAUGAAUUCUGGUGUCUCUUCUUUGUCGACAAACGUUUUCAGCUCAUUCUUCCACCUCCUGAAUAGGUCUGCCAUCUUCUUAAGAGCAUGAGACUUGAUUAAUUGUUCUUUAGCUGGCUUCUCCGGAUCCUCCUCUGGCGGUAGGGUGAAAUUCGCCUUCAGCUCAGUCCAAAGAUCAUCUUUCUGCAUAUCAUUGACAUAAGACACCUCAGGGUCUUCCUUCUUAGGCUUAUACCAUUGGUGGAUGCUGAUCGGGAUCUUGUCCCUAACAAGAACCCCGCACUGAGCAGCAAAUGCUUCCUUUGUCUGGAUGGGUUCAAUCGGUUGGACGUCGCGCGCGAUUGCUGUGAUCUCAAACCUUUCAUCCGAGCGCAACUUUUUCUUCGGGCCUCGUCUCUUUACCGAAGUUGUGCUCGAUCCGGAGGGCUAGAAAAAAGAAGAAAGACGAGAGUUAAUUAAUAUGUGUACAUACCAAAACAAUGAAUGCAUCAAUUAGCUAGUCAGCACAGGCUUAACUAAUAUAUUUACCUGGCCGGACUCUGUUCGGUCAGCGGAGCCGUCACCACGUGCUCCUUCUUGCACCAGCAUUGGGUCACCGGAGCCAUCAUAAUCAUGUCUUUCCUCCUCCACUCUUCGAUCACCGUAGCCUGCUUCUUCACCCUGUUCUUCCAGACCAUCAUUGUCAUUAAGAUACGACAAGACAUCACCUCCGGCUAAGAUUAUGUCCCCCAACACCUCUUCUGCUUCCUCGUCUCGUCCGUGCUCCAUUGUUUCUGCAAAUAUUACAACAUGACAAUUAUUACACAAACAUGACAGCGGGUGGAUAUAUUAGUGCAAACGUAGACCUAGCUUAUUCCGGGUUUGGGGUGGCCUCGGCAACGCUUCAAGGGUAGGGGCGCGGCGGGAGGGGUAGGAGACCGACAUCGUUUUUUUCUAGGGUUUGGGUGUCCUCGAGAGUUUUGGUCGAGUGAGAGGGCCGGGGGGUGCUCCCGUGGUAUAAGUUAUCACGGUCGAAGUUAUCCGGGAGGGGGUUAUAUCGACAACGACGACAUACAUACAUGGGAAAAUAAUGUUAUCGGGGAGGGGGUAGGUGAAGGAAAUAUGCCCUAGAGGCAAUAAUAAAGUAUUAUUUAUUUCCUUAUAUCAUGAUAAAUGUUUAUUAUUCAUGCUAGAAUUGUAUUAACCGGAAACAUAAUACAUGUGUGAAUACAUAGACAAACAGUGUGUCACUAGUAUGCCUCUACUUGACUAGCUCGUUAAUCAAAGAUGGUUAUGUUUCCUAGCCAUAGACAUGAGUUGUCAUUUGAUUAACGAGAUCACCUCAUUAGGAGAAUGACGUGAUUGACUUGACCCAUUCCGUUAGCUUAGCACCCGAUCGUUUAGUAUGUUGCUAUUGCUUUCUUCAUGACUUAUACAUGUUCCUAUGACUAUGAGAUUAUGCAACUCCCGUUUACCGGAGGAACACUUUGUGUGCCACCAAACGUCACAACGUAAAUGGGUGAUUAUAAAGGUGCUCUACAGGUGUCUCCAAAGGUACUUGUUGGGUUGGCGUAUUUCGAGAUUAGGAUUUGUCACUCCGAUUGUCGGAGAGGUAUCUCUGGGCCCACUCAGUAAUGCACAUCACUAUAAGCCUUGCAAGCAUUGUGACUAAUGAGUUAGUUGCGGGAUGAUGUAUUACGGAACGAGUAAAGAGACUUGCCGGUAACGAGAUUGAACUAGGUAUCGAGAUACCGACGAUCGAAUCUCGGGCAAGUAACAUACUGAUGACAAAGGGAACAACGUAUGUUGUUAUGCGGUCUGACCGAUAAAGAUCUUCGUAGAAUAUGUGGGAACCAAUAUGAGCAUCCAGGUUCCGCUAUUGGUUAUUGACCGGAGAGGUGUCUCGGUCAUGUCUACAUAGUUCUCGAACCCGUAGGGUCCGCACGCUUAAAGUUACGAUGACAGUUAUAUUAUGAGUUUAUAUGUUUUGAUGUACCGAAGGUUGUUCGGAGUCCCGGAUGCAAUCACGGACAUGACGAGGAGUCUCGAAAUGGUCGAGACAUAAAUAUUGAUAUAUUGGACGACUAUAUUCGGACAUCGGAAGUGUUCCGGAGAAGUUUCGGAUAAAACCGGAGUGCAGGAGGGGUUACCGGAACCCCCCGGGGAAGUAUUGGGCCUUAGUGGGCCUUGAGGGGAGAGAGAGGGCAGCAGCCAGAAGGUGGCGCGCCCCCUCCCAUGAGGAGUCCGAAUUGGACUAGGGGAGGGGGGCGCAGCCCCUCUUUCCCUCUCCCUCUCCCUCUCUUUCCUCCCCCCCUCUCUUCCUAGUUGGACUAGGAAAGGGGAGUCCUACUCCUACUAGGAGGAGGACUCCCCCCUCUCCUUGGCGCGCCCAAAGGCAGCCGGCCUCCCCCUUGCUCCUUUAUAUACGGGGGCAGGGGGCACCUGUUCACACAAUUGAUAUACGAUAUUUUAGCCGUGUGCGGUGCCCCCCUGCACCAUAUUACACCUCGAUAAUAUUGUUGCAGAGCUUAGGCGAAGCCCUGCAUCGGUAGAACAUCAUCGUCGUCACCACGCCAUCGUGCUGACGAAACUCUCCCUCAACACUCGGCUGGAUCGGAGUUCGAGGGACGUCAUCGAGCUGAACGUGUGCUGAACUCGGAGGUGCCGUGCGUUCGGUACUUGAUCGGUCGGAUCGUGAAGACGUACGACUACAUCAACUGCGUUGUGAUAACGCUUCCGCUUUCGGUCUACGAGGGUACGCGGACAACACUCUCCCCUCUUGUUGCUAUGCAUCACCAUGAUCUUGCGUGUGCGUAGGAAAUUUUUUGAAAUUACUACGUUCCCAACAGUGGUAUCAGAGCCAGGUUUUAUGCGUUGAUGCUAUGCACGAGUAGAACACAAGUGAGUUGUGGGCGAUAUAAGUCAUACUGCUUACCAGCAUGUCAUACUUUGGUUCGGCGGUAUUGUGAGAUGAAGCGGCCCGGACCGACAUUACGCGUACGCUUACGCGAGACUGGUUUCACCGUUGGGAGCACUCGUUGCUUAAAGGUGACUGGCGGGUGUCCGUCUCUCUCACUUUAGUUGAACCGAGUGUAGCUACGCCCGGUCCUUGCGAAGGUUAAAACAGCACCAACUUGACAAACUAUCGUUGUGGUUUUGAUGCGUAGGUAAGAACGGUUCUUGCUAAGCCCGUAGCAGCCACGUAAAACUUGCAACAACAAAGUAGAGGACGUCUAACUUGUUUUUGCAGGGCAUGUUGUGAUGUGAUACGGUCAAGACAUGAUGCUAUAUUUUAUUGUAUGAGAUGAUCAUGUUUUGUAACCGAGUUAUCGGCAACUGGCAGGAGCCAUAUGGUUGUCGCUUUAUUGUAUGCAAUGCGAUCGCCAUGUAAUUGUUUUACUUUAUCACUAAGCGGUAGCGAUAGUCGUAAAAGCAACAAGUUGGCGAGACGACAACGAUACUACGAUGGAGAUCAAGGUGUCGCGCCGGUGACGAUGGUGAUCAUGACGGUGCUUCGGAGAUGGAGAUCACAAGCACAAGAUGAUGAUGGCCAUAUCAUAUCACUUAUAUUGAUUGCAUGUGAUGUUAAUCUUUUAUGCAUCUUAUCUUGCUUUGAUUGACGGUAGCAUUAUAAGAUGAUCUCUCACUAAAAUUUCAAGAUAAAAGUGUUCUCCCUGAGUAUGCACCGUUGCAAAAGUUCUUCGUGCUGAGACACCACGUGAUGAUCGGGUGUGAUAGGCUCUACGUUCAAAUACAACGGGUGCAAAACAGUUGCACACGCAGAAUACUCAGGUUAAACUUGACGAGCCUAGCAUAUGCAGAUAUGGCCUCGGGACACGGAGACCGAAAGGUCGAGCGUGAAUCAUAUAGUAGAUAUGAUCAACAUAGUGAUGUUAACCAUUGAAACUACUCCAUCUCACGUGAUGAUCGGACAUGGUUUAGUUGAUUUGGAUCACGUAAUCACUUAGAUGAUGAGAGGGAUGUCUAUCUAAGUGGGAGUUCUUAAGUAAUAUGAUUAAUUGAACUUGAAUUUAUCAUGAACUUAGUACCUGAUAGUAUCUUGCUUGUCUAUGUUAAUUCUAGAUAAAUGGCCCGUGUUGUUGUUCCGUUGAAUUUUAAUGCGUUCCUUGAGAAAGCAAAGUUGAAAGAUGAUGGUAGCAAUUACACGGACUGGGUCCGUAACUUGAGGAUUAUCCUCAUUGUUGCACAGAAGAAUUACGUCCUGGAAGCACCGCUAGGUGCCAGGCCUCCUGCAAGAGCAACACCAGAAGUUAUGAACGUCUGGCAGAGCAAAGCUGAUGACUACUCAAUAGUUCAGUGUGCCAUGCUUUACAGCUUAGAACCGGGUCUUCAACGACGUUUUGAACGUCAUGGAGCAUAUGAGAUGUUCCAGGAGUUGAAGUUAAUAUUUCAAGCAAAUGCCCGGAUUGAGAGAUAUGAAGUCUCCAAUAAGUUCUAUAGCUGCAAGAUGGAAGAGAAUAGUUCUGUCAGUGAGCAUAUACUCAAAAUGUCUGGGUAUAAUAAUCACUUGAUUCAACUGGGAGUUAAUCUUCCGGAUGAUAGCGUCAUUGACAGAAUUCUUCAAUCACUGCCACCAAGCUACAAGAGCUUCGUGAUGAACUAUAACAUGCAAGGGAUGAAUAAGACAAUUCCCGAGCUCUUCGCAAUGCUAAAGGCAACGGAGGUAGAAAUCAAAAAGGAGCAUCAAGUGUUGAUGGUUAGUAAAACCACUAGUUUCAAGAAAAAGGGCAAAGGGAAGAAGAAGGGGAACUUCAAGAAGAAUAGCAAGCAAGUUGUUGUUCAGGAGAAGAAAUCCAAGUCUGGACCUAAGCCUGAAACUGAGUGCUUCUACUGUAAGCAGACUGGUCACUGGAAGCGAAACUGCCCCAAGUAUUUGGCGGAUAAGAAGGAUGGCAAGGUUAACAAAGGUAUAUGUGAUAUACAUGUUAUUGAUGUGUACCUUACUAAUGCUCGCAGUAGCACCUGGGUAUUUGAUACUGGUUCUGUUGCUAAUAUUUGCAACUCGAAACAGGGGCUACGGAUUGAGCGAAGAUUGGCUAAGGACGAGGUGACGAUGCGCGUGGGAAAUGGUUCCAAAGUCGAUGUGAUCGCCGUCGGCACGCUACCUCUACAUCUACCUUCGGGAUUAGUAUUAGACCUAAAUAAUUGUUAUUUGGUGACAGCGUUGAGCAUGAACAUUAUAUCUGGAUCUUGUUUGAUGCGAGACGGUUAUUCAUUUAAAUCAGAGAAUAAUGGUUGUUCUAUUUAUAUGAAUAAUAUCUUUUAUGGUCAUGCACCCUUGAAGAGUGGUCUAUUUUUAAUGAAUCUCGAUAGUAGUGACACACAUAUUCAUAAUGUUGAAGCCAAAAGAUGCAGAGUUGAUAAUGACAGUGCAACUUAUUUGUGGCACUGCCGUUUAGGUCAUAUCGGUGUAAAGCGCAUGAAGAAACUCCAUACUGAUGGACUUUUGGAAUCACUUGAUUAUGAAUCACUUGGUACUUGCGAACUGUGCCUCAUGGGCAAGAUGCCUAAAACACCGUUCUCCGGAACUAUGGAGAGAGCAACAUAUUUAUUGGAAAUCAUACAUACAGAUGUAUGUGGUCCGAUGAAUAUUGAGGCUCGUGGCGGAUAUCGUUAUUUUCUCACCUUCACAGAUGAUUUGAGCAGAUAUGGGUAUAUCUACUAAAUGAAACAUAAGUCUGAAACAUUUGAAAAGUUCAAAGAAUUUCAGAGUGAAGUUGAAAAUCAUCGUAACAAGAAAAUAAAGUUUCUAUGAUCAGAUCGUGGAGGAGAAUAUUUGAGUUACGAGUUUGGCCUACAUUUGAAACAAUGCGGAAUAGUUUCGCAACUCACGCCACCCGGAACACCACAGCGUAAUGGUGUGUCCGAAUGUCGUAAUCGUACUUUAUUAGAUAUGGUGCGAUCUAUGAUGUCUCUUACUGAUUUACCGCUAUCGUUUUGGGGUUAUGCUUUAGAGAUGGCUGCAUUCACUCUAAAUAGGACACCAUCGAAAUCCGUUGAGACGACGCCUUAUGAACUAUGGUUUGGCAAGAAACCAAAGUUGUCGUAUCUUAAAGUUUGGGGUUGCGAUGCUUAUGUGAAGAAACUUCAACCUGAUAAGCUCGAACCUAAAUCGGAGAAAUGUGUCUUCAUAGGAUACCCAAAGGAGACUGUUGGGUACACCUUCUAUCACAGAUCCGAAGGCAAGAUAUUCGUUGCUAAGAAUGGAUCCUUUCUAGAGAAGGAGUUUCUCUCGAAAGAAGUGAGUGGGAGGAAAGUAGAACUUGAUGAGGUAACUGUACCUGCUCCCUUAUUGGAAAGUAGAUCAUCACAGAAACCAGUUUCUGCGACACCUACACCAAUUAGUGGGGAAGUUAAUGAUAAUGAUCAUGAAACUUCAGAUCAAGUUAUUACUGAACCUCGUAGGUCAACCAGAUUAAGAUCCGCACCAGAGUGGUACGGUAAUCCUGUUCUGGAGGUUAUGUUACUAGACCAUGACGAACCUACGAACUAUGAAGAAGCGAUGGUGAGCCCAGAUUCCGCAAAAUGGUUUGAAGCCAUGAAAUCCGAGAUGGGAUCCAUGUGUGAAACAAAGUAUGGACUUUGGUUGACUUGCCCGAUGAUCGGCAAGCCAUUGAAAAUAAAUGGAUCUUCAAGAAGAAGACUGACGCUGACGGUAAUGUUACUGUCUAUAAAGCUCGACUUGUUGCGAAAGGUUUUCGACAAGUUCAAGGGAUUGACUACGACGAGACUUUCUCACCCGUAGCGAUGCUCAAGUCUGUCCGAAUCAUGUUAGCAAUUGCCGCAUUUUAUGAUUAUGAAAUUUGGCAAAUGGAUGUCAAAACUGCAUUCCUGAAUGGAUUUCUGGAAGAAGAGUUGUAUAUGAUGCAACCGGAAGGUUUUGUCGAUCCAAAGGGAGCUAACAAAGUGUGCAAGCUCCAGCGAUCCAUUUAUGGACUGGUGCAAGCCUCUUGGAGUUGGAAUAAACGCUUUGAUAGUGUGAUCAAAGCAUUUGGUUUUAUACAGACUUUUGGAGAAGCCUGUAUUUACAAGAAAGUGAGUGGGAGCUCAGUAGCAUUUCUGAUAUUAUAUGUGGAUGACAUAUUGCUGAUUGGAAAUGAUAUAGAAUUUCUGGAUAGCAUAAAGGGAUACUUGAAUAAGAGUUUUUCAAUGAAAGACCUCGGUGAAGCUGCAUAUAUAUUAGGCAUUAAGAUCUAUAGAGAUAGAUCAAGACGCUUAAUUGGACUUUCACAAAGCACAUACCUUGACAAAGUUUUGAAGAAGUUCAAAAUGGAUCAAGCAAAGAAAGGGUUCUUGCCUGUACUACAAGGUGUGAGAUUGAGUAAGACUCAAUGCCCGACCACUGCAGAAGAUAGAGAGAAGAUGAAAGAUGUUCCCUAUGCUUCAUCCAUAGGCUCUAUCAUGUAUGCAAUGUUGUGUACCAGACCUGAUGUGUGCCUUGCUAUAAGUUUAGCAGGGAGGUACCAAAGUAAUCCAGGAGUGGAUCACUGGACAGCGGUCAAGAACAUCCUGAAAUACUUGAAAAGGACUAAGGAUAUGUUUCUCGUUUAUGGAGGUGACAAAGAGCUCAUUGUAAGUGGUUACGUUGAUGCAAGCUUUGACACUGAUCCGGACGAUUCUAAAUCGCAAACCGGAUACGUAUUUACAUUGAACGGUGGAGCUGUCAGUUGGUGCAGUUCUAAGCAAAGUGUCGUGGCGGGAUCUACGUGUGAAGCGGAGUACAUAGCUGCUUCGGAAGUAGCAAAUGAAGGAGUCUGGAUGAAGGAGUUCAUAUCCGAUCUAGGUGUCAUACCUAGUGCAUCGGGACCAAUGAAAAUCUUUUGUGACAAUACUGGUGCAAUUGCCUUAGCAAAGGAAUCCAGAUUUCACAAGAGAACCAAGCACAUCAAAAGACGCUUCAAUUCCAUCCGGGAUUUAGUCCAGGUGGGAGACAAGAAAUUUGCAAGAUACAUACGGAUCUGAAUGUUGCAGACCCGUUGACUAAGCCUCUUCCACGAGCAAAACAUGAUCAGCACCAAGACUCCAUGGGUGUAAGAAUCAUUACAGUGUAAUCUAGAUUAUUGACUCUAGUGCAAGUGGGAGACUCAAGGAAAUAUGCCCUAGAGGCAAUAAUAAAGUAUUAUUUAUUUCCUUAUAUCAUGAUAAAUGUUUAUUAUUCAUGCUAGAAUUGUAUUAACCGGAAACAUAAUACAUGUGUGAAUACAUAGACAAACAGUGUGUCACUAGUAUGCCUCUACUUGACUAGCUCGUUAAUCAAAGAUGGUUAUGUUUCCUAGCCAUAGACAUGAGUUGUCAUUUGAUUAACGGGAUCACCUCAUUAGGAGAAUGACGUGAUUGACUUGACCCAUUCCGUUAGCUUAACACCCGAUCGUUUAGUAUGUUGCUAUUGCUUUCUUCAUGACUUAUACAUGUUCCUAUGACUAUGAGAUUAUGCAACUCCCGUUUACCGGAGGAACACUUUGUGUGCUACCAAACGUCACAACGUAAAUGGGUGAUUAUAAAGGUGCUCUACAGGUGUCUCCAAAGGUACUUGUUGGGUUGGCGUAUUUCGAGAUUAGGAUUUGUCACUCUGAUUGUCGGAGAGGUAUCUCUGGGCCCACUCAGUAAUGCACAUCACUAUAAGCCUUGCAAGCAUUCUGACUAAUGAGUUAGUUGCGGGAUGAUGUAAAACAGAACGAGUAAAGAGACUUGCCGGUAACGAGAUUGAACUAGGUAUCGAGAUACCGACGAUCGAAUCUCGGGCAAGUAACAUACCGAUGACAAAGGGAACAACGUAUGUUGUUAUGCGGUGUGACCAAUAAAGAUCUUCGUAGAAUAUGUGGGAACCAAUAUGAGCAUCUAGGUUCCGCUAUUGGUUAUUGACCGGAGAGGUGUCUCGGUCAUGUCUACAUAGUUCUCGAACCCGUAGGGUCCGCACGCUUAAAGUUACGAUGACAGUUAUAUUAUGAGUUUACAUGUUUUGAUGUACCGAAGGUUGUUCGGAGUCCCGGAUGUGAUCACGGACAUGACGAGGAGUCUCGAAAUGGUCAAGACAUAAAGAUUGAUAUAUUGGACGACUAUAUUCAGACACCGGAAGUGUUCCGGAGAAGUUUCGGAUAAAACCGGAGUGCCGGAGGGGUUACCGGAACCCCCCCGGGGAAGUAUUGGGCCUUAGUGGGCCUUGAGGGGAGAGAGAGGGCAGCAGCAGCCAGAAGGUGGCGCGCCCCCUCCCAUGAGGAGUCCGAAUUGGACUAGGGGAGGGGGCGCAGCCCCUCUUUCCCUCUCCCUCUCCCUCUCUUUCCUUCCCCCCCCUCUCUUCCUAGUUGGACUAGGAAAGGGGAGUCCUACUCCUACUAGGAGGAGGACUCCCCCCCUCUCCUUGGCGCGCCCAAAGGCAGCCGGCCUCCCCCUUGCUCCUUUAUAUACGGGGGCAGGGGGCACCUGUUCACACAAUUGAUAUACGGUAUUUUAGCCGUGUGCGGUGCCCCCUCCACCAUAUUACACCUCGAUAAUAUCAUUGCGGAGCUUAGGCGAAGCCCUGCGUCGGUAGAACAUCAUCAUCGUCACCACCCCGCCGUGCUGACGAAACUCUCCCUCAACACUCGGCUGGAUCGGAGUUCGAGGGACGUCAUCGAGCUGAACGUGUGCUGAACUCGGAGGUGCCGUGCGUUCGGUACUUGAUCGGUCGGAUCGUGAAGACGUACGACUACAUCAACUUCGUUGUGAUAAUGCUUCCGCUUUCGGUCUACGAGGGUACGUGGACAACACUCUCCCCUCUCGUUGCUAUGCGUCACCAUGAUCUUGCGUGUGCGUAGGAAAUUUUUUGAAAUUACUACGUUCCCAACAGUAGGUCGACCCCCCCCCCCCUUGUGUUGAAGUUAUCGGGACACGGGGUAUAUCGACAACGACAUAUCCGAUAAAAAAUAAGAAGACAAAUAACAAAUAAAAAGAGGAGAAGAAGAUAUUAAUAGAGGAGAAGAUUGAAGAAAAAAAGAAGAAGAAAAAGAGGAGAAGAAGAAAGGAAUAGAGGAGAAGAAGAGAAAAUAGAAUAUUCUAUUUNNNNNNNNNNNNNNNNNNNNNNNNNNNNNNNNNNNNNNNNNNNNNNNNNNNNNNNNNNNNNNNNNNNNNNNNNNNNNNNNNNNNNNNNNNNNNNNNNNNNNNNNNNNNNNNNNNNNNNNNNNNNNNNNNNNNNNNNNNNNNNNNNNNNNNNNNNNNNNNNNNNNNNNNNNNNNNNNNNNNNNNNNNNNNNNNNNNNNNNNNNNNNNNNNNNNNNNNNNNNNNNNNNNNNNNNNNNNNNNNNNNNNNNNNNNNNNNNNNNNNNNNNNNNNNNNNNNNNNNNNNNNNNNNNNNNNNNNNNNNNNNNNNNNNNNNNNNNNNNNNNNNNNNNNNNNNNNNNNNNNNNNNNNNNNNNNNNNNNNNNNNNNNNNNNNNNNNNNNNNNNNNNNNNNNNNNNNNNNNNNNNNNNNNNNNNNNNNNNNNNNNNNNNNNNNNNNNNNNNNNNNNNNNNNNNNNNNNNNNNNNNNNNNNNNNNNNNNNNNNNNNNNNNNNNNNNNNNNNNNNNNNNNNNNNNNNNNNNNNNNNNNNNNNNNNNNNNNNNNNNNNNNNNNNNNNNNNNNNNNNNNNNNNNNNNNNNNNNNNNNNNNNNNNNNNNNNNNNNNNNNNNNNNNNNNNNNNNNNNNNNNNNNNNNNNNNNNNNNNNNNNNNNNNNNNNNNNNNNNNNNNNNNNNNNNNNNNNNNNNNNNNNNNNNNNNNNNNNNNNNNNNNNNNNNNNNNNNNNNNNNNNNNNNNNNNNNNNNNNNNNNNNNNNNNNNNNNNNNNNNNNNNNNNNNNNNNNNNNNNNNNNNNNNNNNNNNNNNNNNNNNNNNNNNNNNNNNNNNNNNNNNNNNNNNNNNNNNNNNNNNNNNNNNNNNNNNNNNNNNNNNNNNNNNNNNNNNNNNNNNNNNNNNNNNNNNNNNNNNNNNNNNNNNNNNNNNNNNNNNNNNNNNNNNNNNNNNNNNNNNNNNNNNNNNNNNNNNNNNNNNNNNNNNNNNNNNNNNNNNNNNNNNNNNNNNNNNNNNNNNNNNNNNNNNNNNNNNNNNNNNNNNNNNNNNNNNNNNNNNNNNNNNNCGACGGGGCAAAGGACGGCGACGGCGUCGACGGGGCGGGUCGGGAGCGCGGCAGAGGCACGGCGAGGGCGCGUGGCAUGGUCGGGGGACAGGGGCGACGGCGGCGUGGUCGGGGCGGGGCAACGGCGGCGUGGUUGGGGGCGCGGCAGAGGCACGGCGAGCUCGGGCAGCCUGGUGGCGUCGUCGGAGGGAUCGAAGAACUGACGAAAUUUUCACAAGUGCUGGCUUAUAUAGCAAACCCAUUGGUACCAGUUGGUGGCACAAACCGGUACCAAUGCCACCCUUUAGUCCUGGUUGGUGUCACCAACCGGGACCAAAUGCCUCUUUUCAGCAGCCCAAGGGGCGGGAAGCGGCGGCCUUUGGUCCCGGUUGUUGGCACCAACCGGGACUAAAGGGGGGGCAUUGGUCCCGGUUGCUGCCACAAACCGGGACCAAAGGGUGGCAUUGGUCCCGGUUCAUGCCACCAACCAGGACCAAUGGCCUUGCACAGCGGCGUGGUGGUGGGAGUUUAGUCCCACCUCGCUAGUUGAGAGCGUCGACUACCUGUUUAUAAGCACUGCUGCCUCCUCUCUCUCGAACUCCUCUGAACUGCAGGCCUAUGGGCCUAAUUUGACACUGCUUUGCCUGUGGGCCUGCUGGGCCUUCUGCGGGCCUAAAUCCUAGCCCAACUAGCUCGGUUUCUAGUCGUAUUCAGGCCGUGGUGGCCCAGGAGGUGGCUUUUUUAUUUUUUUUUCUAGUUUUUUUGUUUUCUUUGUUGCUUUAUUUCUCUAUUUUGUUUCUAGUUACAACAAAAUACUUACUGUUGCUAUUUUAUUUAUUUUAUUAAGGUUUAUUUAUUUUGUUUUAUUAUAGUUUAUUUUAUUUUGUUUCUACUUAUUUAUUUUAUAAAAGUUUAUUUUAUUUAUUUUAUUUUGUUUGUACUUAUUUAUUUUAUUUUGUUUCUACUUAUUUAUAAAAGUUUAUUUUGUUUAUACUUAUUUAUUUUCUUUUCUUUUUUGCUUUUUGUAUUUAUUUUAUGAAAAUUCUUUUUGCUUUUAAUGUUUUGAACAGAAAAUACUUUGAUAAUUUUAGUUGCAUAAAUUCUAUAUAAUUUUAGUUUCAAUAAUACUAGAGGUUUAUAAAAGCUUUUUAGUUGAUUCCUCUAGUACCGGUUCUUUCUGCCCUUUCUGACUUCAUUUGUUAUUUUUCAUGCAUUUAUUGAUUAUUUUGAGCUAUAAGACCCUGAAAUUGAAAAGCAUUUCAAAUGAACUCUGAAAAGGUUGAAAGUUGGCAUGGUAUCAUCAUUUCAUCCACAUAGCAUGUGCAAGAAAGUUGAGAGGGUUACGGCAAAAACUGGAUGCACUUCGGGUACAAAACGGACAAUGGUAUCAUACUCGUCUGUUACAAAGUUGGCAUGGUAUCAUCAUAAUAGUUGCGGGAGAAAGUCUUCACUUUUUCUUCGCUUGUGUCAUUUGCUUAUUGCGUCGUAACCAUGGAUAAUCUUCAUCGUUUAUCAGGAUGCUUGGGUCAGCCUUGACUUUGAAGGGAGGAAUUUCAUGAAACUUUUCAUAAUCUUUACACAUGUCUGUCUUGCCCUCCACUCCCACGAUGUCCUUUUUUUCCUGAAAGAACUAUGUGGCGCUUUGGCUCAUCAUAUGAUGUAUUCGCUUCCUUAUCUUUUCUUUUUCUCGGUUUGGUAGACAUAUCCUUCACAUAGAUAACCUGUGCCACAUCAUUGGCUAGGACGAACGGAUCGUCAGUGUACCAAGAUUUUUCAGAUCCACUGUUGUCAUUCCGUACUGUGGGUCUACCUGUACCCCGCCUCCGGACAGAUUGACCCAUUUGCACUUAAACAAAAGGACCUUAAAAUCAUGUCCGUAGUCAAGUUCCCAUAUGUCCACUAUGUAACCAUAAUAUGUGUCCUUUUCCCUUUCGGUUGCUGCAUCAAAGCGGACACCGCUGUUUUUGUUGGUGCUCUUUUGAUUUUGGGCGAUCAUGUAAAAUGUAUUCCCAUUUAUCUCGUAUCCUUUGUAAGUCAAUACAGUCGAAGAUGGUCCCCUGGACAACGAGUACAGCUCAUCACAAAUAGUGAUGUCACCUCUGAGACGUGUUUGCAACCAACUGCUGAAAGUCCUGAUGUAUUCACAUGUAAUCCAGUCGUCGCACUGCUCCGGGUGUUUGGAGCGCAGACUGUUCUUGUGUUCAUCGACAUACGGGGUCACCAAGGUAGAGUUCUGUAGAACUGUGUAGUAUGCUUGAGACCAAGAAUAUCCGUCCCUGCAUACUAUUGAGUCCCCUCCAAGCAUGCCUUUUCCAGUCAGUCUCCCCUCAUACCGCGAUUUAGGGAGACCUAUCUUCUUAAGGCCAGGAAUGAAGUCAACACAAACCCAAUGACAUCCUAUGUUUGAUGGCCCAUGGAGAUGCUUCCUUCUGGCCUAGCGCGGUUACGGACAUAUUUCUUUAAGACUCCCAUGAACCUCUCAAAGGGGAACAUAUUGAGUAGAAAUACGGGCCCCAAAAUGACAAUCUCGUCGACUAGAUGAACUAGGACGUGCUCGAAACUGACAAGACAUUACGCCACAUCACUCCUUAGCCUUGGUAUGAUUUCUGGUCGAUCACCUUCUGAGAGAUUGCAUUGAGGAAUGCACAUAGCUUCACAAUGGCUAAUCGGACGUUUUCCGGUAGAAGCCCCCUCAAUGCAACCGGAAGCAGUUGCGUCAUAAUCACGUGGCAGUCAUGAGACUUUAGGUUCUGGAACUUUUUCUCUGGCAUAUUUAUUAUUCCCUUUAUAUUCGACGAGAAGCCAGUCGGGGCCUUCAUACUGAGCAGGCAUUCAAAGAAGAUUUCUUUCUCUUCUUUCGUAAGAGCGUAGCUGGCAGGACCUUCAUACUGCUUCGGAGGCAUGCCGUCUUUUUCGUGCAAACGUUGCAGGUUCUCCCGUGCCUCAGGUGUAUCUUUUGUCUUCCCAUACACGCCCAAGAAGCCUAGCAGGUUUACGCAAAGGUUCUUCGUCACGUGCAUCACGUCGAUUGAAGAGCAGACCUCUAGGUCUUUCCAGUAGGGUAGGUCCCAAAAUAUAGAUUUCUUCUUCCACAUGGGUGCGUGUCCCUCAACGUCAUUCGGAACAGCUAGUCCGCCGGGACCCUUUCCAAAAAUUACGUGUAAAUCAUUGACCAUAGCAAGUACGUGAUCACCGGUACGCAUGGCGGGCUUCUUCCGGUGGUCUGCCUCGCCUUUGAAAUGCUUGCCUUUAUUUCGACAUUGAUGGUUGGUCGGAAGAAAUCGACGAUGGCCCAGGUACACAUUCUUCCUGCAUUUGUCCAGGUAUAUACUUUCGGUGUCGGCUAAACAGUGCGUGCAUGCGUGGUAUCCCUUGUUUGUCUGUCCUGAAAGGUUACUGAGAGCGGGCCAAUCAUUGAUGGUUACAAACAGCAUCGCGUGCAGGUUAAAUUCCUCCUGUUUGUGCUCAUCCCACGUACGUACACCGUUUUCAUUCCACAUCUGUAAAAGUUCUUCAACUAAUGGCCUUAGGUACACAUCAAUGUCGUUACCUGGUUGCUUAGGGCCUUGGAUGAGAACUGGCAUCAUUAUGAACUUCCGCUUCAUGCACAUCCAAGGAGGAAGGUUAUACAUACAUAGAGUCACGGGCCAUGUGCUGUGAUUGCUGCUCUGCUCCCCGAAAGGAUUAAUGCCAUCCGCGCUUAAACCAAACCAUACGUUCAAUGGGUCACCUGCAAACUCAUCCCAGUACUUUCUCUCGAUUUUUCUCCACUGCGACCCGUCAGCGGGUGCUCUCAACUUCCCGUCUUUCUUACGGUCCUCACUGUGCCAUCGCAUCAACUUGGCAUGCUCUUCGUUUCUGAACAGACGUUUCAACCGUGGUAUUAUAGGAGCAUACCACAUCACCUUCGCAGGAACCCUCUUCCUGGGGGGCUCGCCGUCAACAUCACCAGGGUCAUCUCGUCUGAUCUUAUACCGCAAUGCACCGCAUACCGGGCAUGCAUUCAGAUCCUUGUACGCACCGCGGUAGAGGAUGCAGUCAUUAGGGCAUGCAUGUAUCUUCUGCACCUCCAAUCCUAGAGGGCAUACGACCUUCUUUGCUGCGUAUGUACCGUCGGGCAAUUCGUUAUCCUUUGGAAGCUUCUUCUUCAAUAUUUUCAGUAGCUUCUCAAAUCCUUUGUCAGGCACAUCAUUCUCUGCCUUCCACUGCAGCAAUUCCAGUACGGUACCGAGCUUUGUGUUGCCAUCUUCGCAAUCGGGGUACAACCCUUUUUUGUGGUCCUCUAACAUGCGAUCGAACUUCAGCUUCUCCUUUUGACUUUCGUAUUGCGUCCUUGCAUCGACAAUGACCCGGCGGAGAUCAUCAUCAUCGGGCACAUCGUCUGGUUCCUCUUGAUCUUCAGCAGCUUCCCCUGUUGCAGCAUCAUUGGGCACAUCGUCUGGUUCCUCUUGAUCUUCAGCAGCUUCCCCCGUUGCAGCAUCACCGUAUUCAGGGGGCACAUAGUUGUCAUCGUCCUCUUCUUCUUCGCCGUCUUCCAUCAUAACCCCUAUUUCUCCGUGCCUCGUCCAAACAUUAUAGUGUGGCAUGAAACCCUUAUAAAGUAGGUGGGUGUGAAGGAUUUUCCGGUCAGAGUAAGACUUCGUAUUCCCAUAUUUAGGGCAUGGACAACACAUAAAACCAUUCUGCUUGUUUGCCUCAGCCACUUCGAGAAAAUCAUGCACGCCCUUAAUGUACUCGGAGGUGUGUCUGUCACCGUACAUCCAUUGCCGGUUCAUCUGCGUGCAUUAUAUAUAAUUAAGUGUGUCAAAAACCAUUACAGAACAUCAUGAAUAGAUAAUUAAGUGACCAAAUUAAUAGAAGUUCAUCAUCACAUUAAAACCAAAGUACAUACAUAGUUCUCAUCUAACAACAUAUAGUUCUCCAGAGCAUCUAAUUAAUUAAACCAUACAUCUAAAGUAAGAUUUUUUUUCUUUCAGAAAGAAGAUAAGAACAAGAGGCUCACCACGAUGGUGCCGGCGACGAGAUCGGCGUGGGCGAUCGACGGCGGUGAAGACGGAAAUUGGACGUGACGGGCCGCUAAACCUACACAAAUCUUGAGGAAAAUGGAGCUUUGAGGUCGAGCUUCGAGAGGAGAAAGCUUAACUAGUGUGGCUCGGGCAUUUUAUCGAACACCUCAUGUGCAUAGGAGGUGAGCUAGAGCACCACAAAGCCCUCCCCUCGCCGGCCAGAGAAAAACAGAGCACUGGAGUGCUCUGCUCGCGGGCGAGGGGUAUAUAUAGGCACCUCAUUGGUCCCGAUUCGUGGCAUGAACCGGGACUAAAGGGCAACCUGUGGUCCCGGUUCAAGCCGCCAACCGGGAUCAAUGAUGAUGGGCCAGGAGCGAGGCCUAUUGGUCCCGGUUCGUCCCACCAACCGGGACCAAAGGGGUCAGACGAACCGGGACCAAUGCCCCAUGAGGCCCGGCAGGCCCCUGGCCUCACGAACCGGGACCAGUGCCCAUGAGUCCCGGUUCUAAACUGAACCGGGACUAAUGGGCUGACCCGACCUGAACCAAAGCCUCUUUUGUUGGCCUCCUCCACAGGCUCCAUGUCUUCGAAGGAGAUCCCGCCGCCCGCCUCGCCCUCGCCACCGCGGCGCCCCUCUCCCCCUACCCCGACCUCAGCCGCACGCGCCCCCUCGACUGCCGCCACGGCCGCGUCCUCCUCCACGUGGGGGUCGGGGCUUGGCAUUUCGUCGUCUGGGACCCCGUCACGGGCGAGCAGCACCGCCUCCCGGAGCCCGGCAUCCCGUGGCUCAUCUACACUGCCGCCGUGUUCUGCGCCGUGCCGGGCUGCGACCACCUCGACUGCCACGGCGGCCCCUUUCGGGUUGUCUUUCUGGUCACCGAGGACUACACAGAUCUAGUCAAGGCCGCCGUGUACUCAUCAGAGACAGGCGCGUGGAGCACGCCGGUGACAAUGGACGCCGGCUGUGAUGUCCAGCAUAGGCGAGAUGCCUUUGCGGCUGGAUUCUACUACAAGCCCUAUGUCCAGCCUAGGCGGGGCGCUGUCAUUGGAGAUGAAGCCUACUUCACACUUCGCUGGGGUAACCCAGUCGUCAAGUAUAACUGGAGCAAGAAUCACAUAUCCCUGAUUGAUCCGCCAACAAAGUGUGUGUACAACGUUGGUGUCAAAAAAAAGUCUGUGGACAAGGUCGCCCUCAUGGUGAUGGAGGACAGUUCACUGGGGUUUGCCUGCGUUGAGGGUUCCAGCCUUCAUCUGUGGUCAAGAAAGGUGAAUGCAGAAGGAGAUGCAGAGUGGGCAUGGUGCAGGGCCAUCCAGCUGGAGAGUAUUAUACCUGUUGCCAAUUCUGAUGACAAACCAUUUGUGGUUGGAUCUGCAGAGGGUGUGGGUGUCAUAUUCG